rnacentral:lncRNA from 1 species
GAUCAUCGCUCCUUAUCCAUUUAUCUUCCUCAUGCAUGGAAAAAACCUACGUACUACGUACAGCAGCUUCUACACUGCCGAUCGAGUUUGUACCAUAUAUAUUCUACCGUACGUGCGUGGUUUGUAUGUGUUGGUAGAAGAUGCAUUCUCCUGUUAGUCUGUGUCGCGCACGCCGUUGCAUACUUUCUAGUAGUAACACAACCGAGCUUUUACAGGUUUAUUAUAAGCAAAGUGUGGUCAUAAUGUGGAGUGUGAGGUGUAUUACCUGUGUACGAAAAGAUUGGCUGUUCAAUUUGAACCUUAUGUGGUUGGAAAACAAAUGGUGAUUCUUUCAAAGCUUUAUUGAAAUACAUAUUCUCCUCUCUCCUACUUUUUGUUUAUGAAUAUAAUGCUUUAUUUAAUUCAUAAAUGCAGUGUCAAAAGCGUUUUUAUAUUAUGGGACGGAGGGAGUACAAACCAUAACGAACACACUCGUCCGGCCUCUAAAAGUACCCAGACUCACUAUAGGAAUCAUAUAGUCCGACACAUAUUACUCGGCAAGCACAUAUAGCAUGACAACCUCAUAGGUCCAUAUAUAGAAGCAACAAGUCACAUAUAUAAGUAUACAACACUCUCCAACAAGCAUACAUAUAGCAUGACAACCUCAUAUAGGUCCAUAGCAUAAUAAGAAUACAAGCAACAUAGAUACUCCAAGAACAAGUUUAAAACCAACAAGCAGCAUAGACACUCCAAGAAAUGCAAUGAGCUUCACCGUCGACAGCAUCCGCAAUGAAAGCUACAAGUUCAGAAGCACAUGCAUGAGUUUGCAAGUUCAAAUGUCAAACAAGCUACUAGGGGUAAGUUUCAAGCUCUUUAUCAAAAGAUGUGCACAUCUAAGUUAGAAUGUGUUGCUUAUGGCAUUUGUGAGAAUAUAUUAGUGGUGUGGAAGUUGUGUCUAUGGACACAAAAUCAUAUAAUUUAUGAGAAAGCGAUGAUGACAUCAAUGGUGGUUGCUUAUCUCAUCGAAAGAGGUGACUUUUCAUUGCAAUCAAAUGCAAGCAAUCAUAUCAAAAACUAGCCUGGCAUGGAGUCAUUAUUGCCUGGAGAUCAAAGGGGCAUGAGUUGUAGGCGUCACUGGCUUCCUUGCGCAGGGCCAUAUGCACCUCCUUGCAUAUUAUAUUGUUCGAUCCAACACUCGGAUUGAGAUGUAAACAUGAGACGGUAAGAUGUAUUAGGUAAGGAUGAAAAUGGUGAUUGAAAAGUAUUAGAAGAGAACUCACAAAGUUGAAGUUAGGAAGAGGAGGAAGGAUCUUGCAGAUCUCCGCCUUGCAUAGCCCCUAUACUCAACAUACCUUUGUUGCGCAUGUAUGGUUACAUGUUCUAAGCUGAUUGAUGGAUGGAAUCAUAGUAUACUAUGGUAAAGAACUUGUCAUGAAAAGGAGUGUAAACCUUCCAUUGUAGGCUACAUGUUGUAGUGCCAAUAUCUCCUACAUCUGCUGGAUUUGAGGUGACCUUCCUCCGUCUUUCUUUGGGCCUCUUCCACCUAUCUCUUGGGCUCCUCCAAUAGUCCCGCUUCUUCAUCCACGCGGGCCUACAUUAUGUCCUCGCAGGGUCAUCACCGUUGCAAUGCAAUCAUGUAAUUAUGUGUAAGAUCAAUGAAGAAGAACAUAACUGCAUUGAGUUAAGCAACUGCCGCCAGCUCCGACAAAAAAAUUGACUUUUGAUCAUCGUCAGAUGGUCCAUAAACCGUGGUCAUCCAAAAUGAUUUUCUACUACUAAUGAUCUCUACUUGAACCGUGAUAGAUAAACUAGCUAUGGCGCGAGAAACUAUGUUCACCAUCCUUCAACAAAACAGAGAGACCAUCUGCCACAAAUAAAAACAGGAACGGUGAAAGUGGAUCACUUUGCCGAAGCUCGCGCGAUGGUGCAAACGAAUCCAACAGGGUUCCAUUAAAUUUGACCGUGUAUAGUGAAUCAUAUGGUGUUACUCCCUCUCAAUAUUUGUUGUGAUAGAUUGAGUCUUGCUCUUUGAGGUUUCACCAGACUGAAUAUUUUGGAUUUGAUAUCACUUGGUGUAUGUCCUACAUGUGGAUACCCAUGGUGAUAAUGGGGUAUUCUAUUGAGUAACUUGAUAUAUGUUUUGGUAAUCAACUUGUGGAUUCCCAUGGUGCAAUUGAGGUAAUCUAUUUUUAAUAUUAAUUGGCAGAAUUUUGUUCGAUUUUAUUAACACUUUUUAGUAUGUGAACUUUUAAUUGUCCUUCCUGUUUUUUAUGUUGAUAACUGGAACAUGGUAACUUACAAGCACCCGGCUAGCCCUCUGUCCUCCGCCUAGCGCGGCCGUCUGCCCGACCGGGCACAAAGAACACAUCAUUCUUUUUCCAUCCCCACAAAUAACAUAAUCUUGUAGGAAAGACACUAAGAUUUUACAGCCAACACCCUAAAGUUUUUGUUUUCUUACAAACAAUACCAAAAUUUUGACAAGUCGUGGCAAUUUUGGCCGGAAAUUUUGGCAGCAUAACACAUGGGAAGAAAUGCAUGAUCACCAACAUUACAGCCGUUGGAUGGCCAGGCCCUAUGUUUUUUGUUUCACACGUAAGAGGAACAAUGCAUGCCAUUACUAAAACACCAUCACUGGCUCUGUAUUUUAUAAGACAACCCUACUGCUCCUCGUGAUGCGUGUCUUGACCCUGAAAAUCUUUCUUUUCAUUCCACGCCGAAAAUUGACAUAGCCACCUGAACUCAGCGCAGGAUCAUCUUCUCUUGCCUUAUAACUAGCAUGCUCUCCAUCUCAACAAAAAAAAAUAGAAAAAAAUCUGCCAGCGCACAUUGAAAAGUUGGUUUAUACAUAGUAUCAAAACAGACUAGAAAUAACUACGAAUUAAUUUUGAAUGACACAAAGUAAAAAACAAGAAAUGAUGCAGAUUGUUCUUGUUAUUCCACACAAGCAAUGCCCAAUACUAACCAAGCUAGAAACAUGCUUGAUGUGUCCAGUAUUAAACCCGCAACAAUGGAAUAAGUGACCAUGUACUACAGCACAAGUUCAUAUACAUAUGUUUUUACAGUAAAUCAUGAUAGUAUUAUUAGUAUUCAUCUUGAUGUUAUCUUGUGUAGGAGUCCUAAUGUUUAUAUUUCCUAUGCAUAUAUUUAAGCAUGGUGUUCCUUGCCUCUCACAUUCUAGUAGGAGGUGUGUAAGUGUGUGAGUCAUGCAUGGCCAGAAGGUGUAGUUUCCUCUAGAAGCAUGUGCAUUAUGGGGUGCCAACUUGCCAUGUGAAGACAAUGAGGGGUGCAAGUUGUUCAAAACAGGCAAGGGUUUUUGGGGAACGCAGUAUUUCAAAAAAAUUCCUACGAUCACGCAAGAUCUAUCUAGGAGAUGCAUAGCAACAAGAGGGGGAUAGUAUGUCUACGUACCCUGGGAGAGUAUCUCUACGUACCGAAAGUGGAAGCGUUAUGAAACGCGGUUGAUGUAGUCGAACGUAUUCACGAUCCAACCGAUCAAGUACCGAACGCACGACACCUCCGCGAUCUACACACGUUCAGCUCGAUGACGUCCCUCGUACUCUUGAUCCAGCUGAGGCCAAGGGAGAGUUUCGUCAGCACGACGGCAUGGUGACGGUGAUGAUGAAGUUACCGACCCAGGGCUUCGUCUAAGCACUACAACGAUAUUACCGAGAUGGAAAUCUAUGGAGGGGGGCACCGCACAUAGUUAAGAUCAACUUUGAUAUGUUCUAGGGUGCCCCCUCCCCACGUAUAUAAAGGAGGGAGGGGAGGCCGGCCGGCCCUCAUAGGCACGCCAAGGGGGGAGGAAUCCUCCUCCUAGUAGGAGUAGGACUCCCCCCUUUCCUAGUCCUACUAGGAGAAGAAGGAAAGAUGGGGGAAGAGAAGGAAGGAGGGGGCGCCGCCCCUCCCCCUAGUCCAAUUCGUACUAGGCCCAGGGGGCGCGCCAGCCCUUGGCAGCCCCUCUCUCUCUCCCCUAGGCCCAAUAAGGCCCAUUACUUCUCUGGUGGUUCCGAUAACCCUUCCGGCACUCCGAUAUAUACCCAGUGACCCCCGGAACUCAUCCGGUGUCCGAAUAUAGUCAUCCAAUAUAUCAAUCUUUAUGUCUCAGCCAUUUCAAGACUCCUCAUCAUGUCCAUGAUCACAUCCGGGACUCCAAACAACCUUAGGUACAUCAAAACACAUAAACUCAUAAUAUCGAUCAUCAUCGAACGUUAAGCGUGCGGACCCUACGGGUUCGAGAACUAUGUAGACAUGACUGAGACUCAUCUCCGGUCAAUAAACAACAGCGGAAACUGGAUGCUCAUAUUGGCUCCCACAUAUUCUACGAAGAUCUUUAUCGGUUAAACCGCAUAACAACAUACGUUGUUCCCUUUGUCAUCGGUAUGUUACUUGCCCGAGAUUCAAUCGUCGGUAUCUCAAUACCUAGUUCAAUCUCGUUACGGGCAAGUCUCUUUACUCGUUCCGUAAUGCAUCAUCCCGCAAUAACUCAUUAGUCACAUUGCUUGCCAGGCUUAUAGUGAUGUGCAUUACCGAGAGGGCCUAGAGAUACCUCUCCGAUACACGGAGUGACAAAUCCUAAUCUUGAUCUAUGCCAAACCAAUAAACACCAUCGGAGACACCUGUAGGGCAUCUUUAUAGUCACCCAGUUACGCUGUGACGUUUGAUAGCACACUAAGUGUUCCUCCGGUAUUCGGGAGUUGCAUAAUCUCAUAGUCAUAGGAACAGUAAUAAGUUAUGGAGAAAGCAAUAGCAAUAAACUAAACGAUCAUAGUGCUAAGCUAACGGAUGGGUCAAGUCAAUCACAUCAUUCUCUAAUGAUGUGAUCCCGUUCAUCAAAUGACAACUCAUGUCUAUGGUUAGGAAACUUAAUCAUCUUUGAUUAACGAGCUAGUCAAGUAGAGGCAUACUAUUGACACUCUGUUUGUCUAUGUAUUCACACAUGUACUAAGUUUCCGGUUAAUAAAAUUCUAGCAUGAAUAAUAAACAUUUAUCAUGAUAUAAGAAAAUAUAAAUAACAACUUUAUUAUUGCCUCUAGGGCAUAUUUACUUCAAGGGUUGCAUGAGCUACUAGACAUUGAGAUCAGCAAUGAUGGGGAGUUAUUCGGUAAAGAUAAUAUUUGUGCAUGUAGUGCAAAGGAAUUAGUAGGUCUUAGAGUUAGUUGAGCAUGCAACAUUACCUAGAUGUGCAUAUCAUUGUGAGAAACAACAAGAGAUGUUAAAGAUUCUAAAAGGAAGAAAGCAGUCAUGCGAUUAAGCUGCAACAAGUAGUCGUUGAUUAGGGGCAUGCAACAUUUUCUACUUAUUCACUAAUGCUUGUUUCAAGAUUCAGGACCAGAGUCAUUGGUUAGGAUUUCUCUGGUCAAGAAUGAUGUGGUGUUGUAACUUAGUUUGUUAGAAUGGCUCCCGAACAGGUGUGGUUCUUCCUCCUUUCACUUGUGAUCCUUGCACCUGUUUAACUGCAUGUGCAUGUGCAUUGUGCUCUACAUCUUUAGUUUUUAUUCCAGUCAGGUUUCCCUUAUUCUUUUGUCAGUCGUGCUCUAUUUUUUAGUUUUCAUAGUCAUGUGUGCAAUAGGAAUACCCCACUAAGCAAAACAUUCCCGAUUACAUGAUCAUGGAGCAACAAAAUGUAUUUUAUUUCUAGCAGUUUUCAGAAUAGAUAGAUCUGUCUGAUUCAUAGCAACAGAAAUACAGAAUAACACUUUCAGAAUAACACUUACAUAAAGUUAAGGCUAUAUGUCAUCGCAUAACUUCAUUAUUGUUGUGUGUGAUUCUUUUCGUGACUGGAACACAGAUGUGAACCCAACACGUAUGAGUUUCUAGAUCUCAGAAGCAAGAAAGUAAAAAAAAUGCUUGUGUAUGUUGACGUGAAACAUUUUUUCUAUGUUAACUGGAAAGAAAAAGCCCCAUGUUGCUCCCAAUGCAAGAGCAAUUUCUUAGAAAAGAAGAUAUGAUUAUGUGACAUGCCACCUCCAAAUAGAACAAUCACCAGCAAGAAUAGAUGCUCGGAACAUGGGGAAAAUAAAUUAAAUUUGACUUGAUGUUUGGAGCCCACAGAUUCUCCAAACUGACAGAUCCCUAAAUGGAAAUUAAAACUACAAUGGACAUACCUCGGAUGCUCUGUAGCUACAAUACCUCCUGAUACGUCUCCAACGUAUCUAUAAUUUUUGAUUGCUCCAUGCUAUAUUAUCUACUGUUUUGGACAUUAUUGGGCUUUAUUAUCCACUUUUAUAUUAUUUUUGGGACUAACCUAUUAACCGGAGGCCGAGCCUAGAAUUGCUGUUUUUGCCUGUUUUAGGGUUUUGAAGAAAAGGAAUAUCAAACGGAGUCCAAACGAAAUGAAACCUUCGGGAACGUGAUUUUUAGGAUGAUUAUGAUCCGGGAGACUUGGACCCUACGUCAAGAAAAGAAAUAGGAGGCCACGAGGUAGGGGGGCGCGCCCACCCCCACCAGGCGCGCCCUCCACCCUCGUGGGCCCCCUGUUGCUCCAUCGACAUACUCCUUCCUCCUAUAUAUAUCCACGUACCCCCAAACGAUCAGAUACAGAGACAAAAACCUAAUUCCACCGCCGCAACUUUCUGUAUCCACGAGAUCCCAUCUUGGGGCCUGUUCCGGAGCUCCGCCGGAGGGGGCAUCGAUCACGGAGGGCUUCUACAUCAACACCAUAGCCUCUCCGAUGAAGUGUGAGUAGUUUACUUCAUACCUACGGGUCCAUAGUUAGUAGCUAGAUGGCUUCUUCUCUCUUUUUGGAUCUCAAUACAAUGUUCUCCCCCUCUCUUGUGGAGAACUAUUCGAUGUAAUCUUCUUUUUUCGGUGUGUUUGUUGAGAUCGAUGAAUUGUGGGUUUAUGAUCAAGUCUAUCUAUGAAUAAUAUUUGAAUCUUCUCUGAAUUCUUUUAUGUAUGAUUGGUUAUCUUUGCAAGUCUCUUCGAAUUAUCAAUUUGGUUUGGCCUACUAGAUUGAUCUUUCUUGCUUUAGGAGAAGUGCUUAGCUUUGGGUUCAAUCUUGCGGUGUCCUUUCUCGGUGACAGUAAGGGUAGCAAGGCACGUAUUGUAUUGUUUCCAUCAAGGAUAACAAGAUGGGGUUUUCUUCAUAUUGCAUGAGUCUAUCCCUCUACAUCAUGUCAUCUUGCUUAAGGCGUUACUCUGUGUUUAACUUAAUACUCUAGAUGCAUGCUGGAUAGCGGUCGAUGAGUGGAGUAAUAGUAGUAGAUGCACGCAGGAGUCGAUCUACUUGUCUCGGACGUGAUGCCUAUAUACAUGAUCAUACCUAGAUAUUCUCAUAACUAUGCUCAAUUAUGUCAAUUGCUCAAUAGUAAUUUGUUCACCCACCGUAGAAUACUUAUGCUCUUGAGAGAAGCCACUAGUGAAACCUAUGGCCCCCGAGUCUAUCUUUAUCAUAUUGAUCUCCUACUACUUAGUUAUUUCCUUUGCUAUUUACUUUGCCUUUAUUUUACUUUGCAUCUUUUAUCAUAAAAAUACCAAAAAAUUUAUCUUAUCAUAUCUAUCAGAUCUCACUCUCGUAAGUGGCCCUAUAGGGAUUGACAACCCCUAUUUGUGUUGGUUGCGAGGAUUUAUUUGUUUUGUGCAGGUGCGAGGGACUCGCACGUAGCCUCCUACUGGAUUGAUACCUUGGUUCUCAAAAACUGAGGGAAAUACUUACGCUACUUUGCUGCAUCAUCCCUUCCUCUUCGGGGAAAACCAACGCAGUGCUCAAGAGGUAGCAAGAAGGAUUUCUGGUGCCGUUGUCGGGGAGGUCUACGCAAAAGUCAACAUACCAAGUACCCAUCACAUACCCUUAUCUCCCGCAUUACAUUAUUUGCCAUUUUCCUCUCCCCCCCACUUCACCCUUGCCGUUUUAUUCGCCCUCUCUCUCUAUCAUCCCUCUCUAUUUGCCUCCUUUUGCAUGCUUGCUUUUUGUUUGCUUGUGUGUUAGUUUGCUUGCUUGUCACAAUGGCUCAAGAUAAUACUAAAUUGUGUGACUUCACCAAUACCAACAAUAAUGAUUUUAUUAGCACUCCGAUUGCUCCUCUUACCGAUGCUGAAUCUUGUGAAAUUAAUACUGCUUUGCUGAAUCUUGUCAUGAAAGAUCUGUUUUCCGGCCUUCCUAGUAAAGAUGCCGCUACCCAUUUAAAUAGCUUCGUUGAUUUGUGUGACAUGCAAAAGAAGAAAGGUGUGGAUAAUGAUAUUGUUAAAUUGAAGCUAUUUCCUUUUUCGCUUAGACAUCUUGCUAAAGCUUGGUUUUCGUCUUUGCCUAAAAAUAGUAUUGAUUCAUGGAACAAGUGCAAAGAUGCUUUUAUCUCUAAGUAUUUUCCUCCCGCUAAGAGCAUCUCUCUUAGAAACGAUAUUAUGAAUUUUAAGCAACUUGAUCAAGAACAUGUUGCACAAGCUUGGGAGAGAAUGAAAUUAAUGAUACAUAAUUGCCCUACUCAUGGUUUAAAUUUGUGGAUGAUUAUACAAAAAUUGUAUGCCGGAUUGAAUUUUGCUUCUAGAAAUCUUUUAGAUUCGGCCGCGGUAGGCACUUUUAUGGAAAUCACUUUAGUAGAAGCUACUAAACUCCUAGAUAAUAUAUGGUUAAUUAUUCUCAAUGGCAUACUGAAAGAUCUACUAAUAAAAAGGUGCAUGCGAUAGAAGAAAUUAAUGUUUUGAGUGGAAAGAUGGAUGAACUUAUGAAAUUAUUUGCUAAUAAGAGUGUUUCUUCUGAUCCUAAUGAUAUGCCCUUGUCUACUUUUAUUGAGAAUAAUAAUGAAUCUAUGGAUGUGAAUUUUGUUGGUAGGAACAAUUUUGGUAACAACACGUAUAGAGGAAAUUUCAACUCUAGGCCUUAUCCUAGUAAUUCUUCUAAUAAUUAUGGUAAUUCCUACAAAAAUUCUUAUGGAAAUUAUAAUAAUAUGCCCUCUGAUUUUGAAUCUAAUAUUAAAGAAUUUAUUACUUCUCAAAAGAAUUUUAAUGCUAUGAUUGAAGAAAAAUUGCUUAAGAUUGAUGAUUUGGCUAGGAACGUUGAUAGAAUUGCUCUUGAUGUUGAUUCUUUGAAACUUAGAUCUAUUCCACCUAAGCAUGAUAUAAUGAGUCUCUCAAAGCCAUGAUAAUUUCCAUUGAUGAGUGCAAAGAACGAACCGCUAGGAUGCGUGCUAAGAAAGAUGCCUUUAUAAGAGCGUGUUCUUCUAGUUCCUAUGAAAAUAAAGAUGAAGAUCUAAAAGUUAUUGAUGUGUCCCCUAUUAAAUCUUUGUUUUGCAAUAUGAAUCUUGAUAAUGAUUGGACUUAAUAUGAUCCACCUUUACCUAGAAGGUGUUCCAAGAAUUCAGAAUUUGUUGAUCUUGAUGCUAAAUUUAAUAAAAGUGGGAUUGAAGAAAUUAAAACCCUAGAUGUUGCUAAAUCCACUAUUAUGGAUUUCAAGGAAUUUAACUAUGAAAAUUGCUCUUUGAUUGAUUGUAUUUCCUUGUUACAAUCCAUGCUAAAUUCUCCUCAUGCUUAUAGUCAAAAUAAAGCAUUUACUAAACAUAUCGUUGAUGCCUUGAUGCAAUCUUAUGAAGAAAAACUUGAAUUGGAAGUUUCUAGCCCUAGAAAACUUUAUGAUGAGUGGGAACCAACUAUUAAAAUUUAAAUUAAAGAUCAUGAAUGCUAUGCUUUAUGUGAUUUGGGUGCUAGUGUUUCCACGAUUCCAAAGACUUUGUGUGAUUUGUUAGGUUUCCGUGAUUUUGAUGAUUGCUCUUUAAACUUGCACCUUCCGGAUUCCACUAUUAAGAAACCUAUGGGAAGAAUUAAUGAUCUUCUUAUUGUUGCAAAUAGGAAUUAUGUGCCCGUAGAUUUUAUUGUUCUUGACAUAGAUUGCAAUCCUUCAUGUCCUAUUAUUCUUGGUAGACCUUUCCUUAGAACGAUUGGUGCAAUUAUUGAUAUGAAGGAAGGAAAUAUUAUAUUCCAAUUUCCAUUAAGGAAAGGCAUGGAACACUUUCCUAGAAAGAAAAUUAAAUUACCUUAUGAAUCUAUUAUGAGAGCCACUUAUGGAUUGCCUACCAAAGAUGGCAAUACCUAGAUCUAUUCUUGCUUGUUAUGCCUAGCUAGGGGCGUUAAACGAUAGCACUUGUUGGGAGGCAACCCAAUUUUAUUUUUAUUCCUUGAUUUUUGCUCCUGUUUAGUAAUAAAUAAUUUAUCUAGCCUCUGUUUUGGUUGUGUUUUUUGUGUUUAAUUAGUGUGUGUGCCAAGUAGAACCGUUGGGAAGACUUGGGGAAAGUCUUGUUGAACUUGCUGUAAAAAACAGAAACUUUAGCACUCACGAGAACUGCUGUCAUUUUUAUUUGGAAGUGAUAUUUAGUUAAUUCUUUUUGAAUAUGAUGAAUAGAUAAAUUCCUCACGUCCAGCAACUUAUUUUAGAAUUUUUGGGGUUCCAGAUCUUGCGCUAGCUACAGAUUACUAAAGACUGUUCUGUUUUUGAUAGAUUCUGUUUUUCGUGUGUUGUGUGCUUAUUUUGAUGAAUCUAUGGCUAGUAAAAUAGUUUAUAAUCCAUAGAGAAGUUGGAAUACAGUAGGUUUAACACCAAUAUAAAUAAAGAAUGAGUUCAUUACAGUACCUUGAAGUGGUUUUUUGUUUUCUUUCGCUAAUGGAGCUCACGAGAUUUUCUUCUUUAAGUUUUGUGUUGUGAAGUUUUCAAGUUUUGGGUAAAGAUUUGAUGGAUUAUGGAACAAGGAGUGGCAAGAGCCUAAGCUUGGGGAUGCCCAUGGCACCCCCAAGAUAAUAUAAGGACACCUAAAAGCCAACUCUUGGGGAUCCCCUCUUCCGUCUACUUCUAUCGGUAACUUUACUUGGAGAUAUAUUUUUAUUCACAUGAUAUGUGUUUUGCUUGGAGCGUCUUUUAUGAUUUUAGUAUUUGCUUGUUAGUCUACCACAAUCAUCCUUGCUGUACACACCUUUUGAGAGAGCCAUACAUGAUUUGGAAUUUGUUUGAAUACUCUAUGUGCUUCACUUAUAUCUUUUGAACUUUAUAGUUUUGCUCUAGUGCUUCACUUAUAUCUUUUAGAGCACGGUGGUGGAUUUGUUUUAUAGAACCGUUGGGAAGACUUGGGGAAAGUCUUGUUGAACUUGCUGUAAAAAACAGAAACUUUAGCGCUCACGAGAACUGCUGUCAUUUUUAUUUGGAAAGUGAUAUUUAGUUAAUUAUUUUUGAAUAUGAUUAAUAGAUAAAUUCCUCACGUACAGAAAUUUAUUUUAGAAUUUUUGGGGUUCCAGAUCUUGCGCUAGCUACAGAUUACUACAGACUGUUCUGUUUUCGACAGAUUCUGUUUUUCGUGUGUUGUUUGCUUAUUUUGAUGAAUCUAUGGCUAGUAAAAUAGUUUAUAAACCAUAGAGAAGUUGGAAUACAGUAGGUAUAACACCAAUAUAAAUAAACAAUGAGUUCAUUACAGUACCUUGAAGUGGUCUUUUAUUUUCUUUCGCUAACGGAGCUCAUGAGAUUUUCUACUUUAAGUUUUGUGUUGUGAAGUUUUCAAGUUUUGGGUAAAGAUUUGAUGGAUUAUGGAACAAGGAGUGGCAAGAGCCUAAGAUUGGGGAUUCCCAUGGCACCCCCAAGAUAAUCUAAGGACACCUAAAAGCCAAAGCUUGGGGAUGCCCCGAAAGGCAUCCCCUCUUUCGUCUACUUCUAUCGGUAACUUUACUUGGAGCUAUAUUUUUAUUUGCCACAUGGUAUGUGUUUUGCUUGGAGCGUCUUGUAUGAUUUGAGUCUUUGCUUGUUAGUUUACCACAAUCAUCCUUGUUGUACACACCUUUUGAGAUAGCCAUGCAUGAUUUAGAAUUUGUUAGAAUACUCUAUGUGCUUCGCUUAUAUCUUUUGAGUUAUAUAAUUUUGCUCUAGUACUUCACUUAUAUCUUUUAGAGCACGGUGGUGGAUUUGUUUUAUAGAAACUAUUGAUCUCUCAUGCUUCACUUAGAUUAUUUUGAGAGUAUUAAUAGCAUGGUAAUUUUCUUAAAAUCCUAAUAUGCUAGGUAUUCAAGAAUAAAAAAAAUUCUCUUAUGAGUGUGUUGAAUACUAUGAUAAGUUUGCUACUUGAUAAUUGUUUUGAGAUAUAAAGAUGGUGAUAUUAAAGUUGUGCUAGUUGAGUAGUUGUGAAUUUGAGAAAUACUUGUGUUGAAGUUUGUGAUUCCCGUAGCAUGCACGUAUGGUGAACCGUUUUGUGAUGAAGUCGACACAUGAUUUAUUUUUUGAUUGCCUUCCUUAUGAGUGGCGGUCGGGGACGAGUGAUGGUCUUUUCCUACCAAUCUAUGCCCCUAGGAGCAUGCGCGUAAUAAUUUGCUUUGAUAACUUGUAGAUUUUUGCAAUAAGUAUGAGUUCUUUAUGACUAAUGUUGAGUCCAUGGAUUAUAUGCACUCUCACCCUUCCACAUUUGCUAGCCUCUCUAAUACUGCGCACCUUUCGCUAGUAUCAUACACCCAUCAUAUACCUUCCUCAAAACAGCCACCAUACCUACCUAUUAUGGCAUUUCCAUAGCCAUUCCUAGAUAUAUUGCCAUGCAACUUUCCACCGUUCCGCUUAUUAUGACACACUCCAUCAUUGUCAUAUUGCUUAGCAUGAUCAUGUAGUUAACAUCGUAUUUGUGGCAAAGCCACCAUUCAUAAUUCUUUCAUACAUGUCACUCAUGCAUCAUUGCAUAUCCCGGUACACCGUCGGAGGCAUUCACAUAGAGUCAUAAUUUGUUCUAAGUAUCGAGUUGUAAUUGUUGAGUUGUAAGAAAAUUAAUAGUGUGAUGAUCAUCAUUAUUAGAGCAUUGUCCCAGUGAGGAAAGGAUGAUGGAGACUAUGAUUCCCCCAGAAGUCGGGGUGAGACUCCAGACGAAAAAGAAAAAAAGGAAAGAAAAGAGGCCAUAAAAAAGAGAAAAGGCCCAAAUAAAAAAAGAGAAAAAAUGAAAGAAAAAAGAGAGAAGGGAUAAUGUUACUAUCCUUUUACCACACUUGUGUUUCAAAGUAGCACCAUGAUAUUCAUAGUAGAGAGUCUCUCAUGUUAUCACUUUCAUAUACUAGUGGGAAUCUUUCAUUAUAGAACUUGCCUUGUAUAUUCCAAUGAUGGGCUUCCUCAAAAUGCCCUAGGUCUUCAUGAGCAAGCAAGUUGGAUGCACACCCACUUAGUUUCCUUUUUGAGCUUUCAUAUACUUGUAGCUCUAGUACAUCCGUUGCAUGGCAAUCCCUACUCACUCACAUUGAUAUCUAUUGUGUUGGGUUUCGUAGUAAUUUCAAAAAAAUUCCUACGCACACACAAGAUCAUGGUGAUGCAUAGCAACGAGAGGGGGAGAGUGUGAUCUACGUACCCUUGUAGAUCGACAACGGAAGCGUUAACUUGGUUGAUGUAGUCGUACGUCUCCACGGCCCGACCGAUCAAGCACCGAAACUACGGCACCUCCGAGUUCUAGCACACGUUCAGCUCGAUGACGAUCCCCGGACUCCGAUCCAGCAAAGUGUCGGGGAAGAGUUCCGUCAGCACGACGGCGUGGUGACGAUCUUGAUGUACUACCGUCGCAGGGCUUCGCCUAAGCACUGCUACAAUAUUAUCGAGGACUAUGGUGGAAGGGGGCACCGCACACGACUAAGAAUAUGAUCACGUGGAUCAACUUGUGUCUCUAGGGGUGCCCCGUGCCUCCGUAUAUAAAGGCUCAAAGGUUGGGGGCUGGCCGGCCAAGAGGUGGCGCGCCAGGAGGAGUCCUACUCCUUCCGGGAGUAGGACUCCCCCUCUUUCCUAGUUGUAAUAGGAUUCGCGGAGGGGGGAAAAGAGGAGAGAGAGGAGGAAGGGGUGCCGACCCCCUCUCCUUGUCCUAUUCGGACCAAAGGGGGGAGGGGUGCGCAGCCCAUCUCUGGCCACCUCUCCUCUCUUCCACUAAGGCCCACUAAGGCCCAUAUACCUCCCGGGGGGUUCCGGUAACCUCCUGGUACUCCGGUAAAAUCCCGAUUUCACCCGGAACACUUCCGAUAUCCAAACAUAGGCUUCCAAUAUAUCAAUCUUUAUGUCUCGACCAUUUCGAGACUCCUCGUCAUGUCCGUGAUCACAUCCGGGACUCCGAACAACCUUCGGUACAUCAAAAUGCAUAAACUCAUAAUAUAACUGUCAUUGUAACCUUAAGCGUGCGGACCCUACGGGUUCGAGAACAAUGUAGACAUGACCGAGACACGUCUCCGAUCAAUAACCAAUAGCGGAACCUGGAUGCUCAUAUUGGCUCCUACAUAUUCUACGAAGAUCUUUUAUCGGUCAGACCGCAUAACAACAUACGUUGUUCCCUUUGUCAUCGGUAUGUUACUUGCCCGAGAUUCGAUCGUCGGUAUCCCGUACCUAGUUCAAUCACAUUACCGGCAAGUCUCUUUACUCGUUCCAUAAUACAUCAUCCCGCAACUAACUCAUUAGUUGCAAUGCUUGCAAGGCUUAAGUGAUGUGCAUUACCGAGAGGGCCCAGAGAUACCUCUCCGACAAUCGGAGUGACAAAUCCUAAUCUCGAAAUACGCCAACCCAACAUGUACCUUUGGAGACACCUGUAGAGCACCUUUAUAAUCACCCAGUUACGUUGUGAUGUUUGGUAGCACACAAAGUGUUCCUCCGGCAAACGGGAGUUGCAUAAUCUCAUAGUCAUAGGAACAUGUAUAAGUCAUGAAGAAAGCAAUAGCAACAUACUAAACGAUCGGGUGCUAAGCUAAUGGAAUGGGUCAUGUCAAUCAGAUCAUUCAACUAAUGAUGUGAUCCCGUUAAUCAAAUGACAACUCUUUGUCCAUGGUUAGGAAACAUAACCAUCUUUGAUUAACGAGCUAGUCUAGUAGAGGCAUACUAGUGACACUCUGUUUCUCUAUGUAUUCACACAUGUAUUAUCUUUCCGGUUAAUACAAUUCUAGCAUGAAUAAUAAACUUUUAUCAUGAUAUAAGGAAAUAAAUAAUAACUUUAUUAUUGCCUCUAGGGCAUAUUUCCUACAGUCUCCCACUUGCACUAGAGUCAAUAAUCUAGAUUAUACUGUAAUGAUUCUAACACCCAUGGAGCCUUGGUGCUGAUCAUGUUUUGCUCGUGGAAGAGGCUUAGUCAACGGGUCUGCUACAUUCAGAUCCGUAUGUAUUUUGCAAAUCUCUAUAUCUCCCACCUGGACUAGAUCCCGGAUGGAAUUGAAGCGUCUCUUGAUGUGCUUGGUUCGUUUGUGAAAUCUGGAUUCCUUCGCCAAGGCCAUUGCACCAGUAUUGUCACAAAAUAUUUUCAUUGGACCCGAUGCACUAGGUAUGACACCUAGAUCGGAUAUGAACUCCUUCAUCCAGACUCCUUCGUUUGCUGCUUCCGAAGCAGCUAUGUACUCCGCUUCACAUGUAGAUCCCACCACGACGCUUUGUUUAGAACUGCACCAACUGACAGCUCCACUGUUUAAUGUAAACACGUAUCUGGUUUGCGAUUUAGAAUCGUCCGGAUCAGUGUCAAAGCUUGCAUCAACGUAACCGUUUACGAUGAGCUCUUUGUCACCUCCAUAUACGAGAAACAUAUCCUUAGUCCUUUUAAGGUACUUCAGGAUGUUCUUGACCGCUGUCCAGUGAUCCACUCCUGGAUUACUUUGAUACCUCCCUGCUAGACUUAUAGCAAGGCACACAUCAGGUCUGGUACACAUCAUUGCAUACAUGAUAGAGCCUAUGGCUGAAGCAUAGGGAACAUCUUUCAUUUUCUCUCUAUCUUCUGCAGUGGUCGGGCAUUGAGUCUGACUCAACUUCACACCUUGUAACACAGGCAAGAACCUUUUCUUUGCUUGAUCCAUUUUGAACUUCUUCAAAACUUUGUCAAGGUAUGUGCUUUGUGAAAGUCCAAUUAAGUGUCUUGAUCUAUCUCUAUAGAUCUUAAUGCCUAAUAUGUAAGCAGCUUCACCGAGGUCUUUCAUUGAAAAACUCUUAUUCAAGUAUCCCUUUAUGCUAUCCAGAAAUUCUAUAUCAUUUCCAAUUAGUAAUAUGUCAUCCACAUAUAAUAUCAGAAAUGCUACAGAGCUCCCACUCACUUUCUUGUAAAUACAGGCUUCUCCGAAAGUCUGUAUAAAACCAAAUGCUUUGAUCACACUAUCAAAGCGUUUAUUCCAACUCCAAGAGGCUUGCACCAGUCCAUAAAUGGAUCGCUGGAGCUUGCACACUUUGUUAGCUCCCUUUGGAUCGACAAAACCCUCUGGUUGCAUCAUAUACAACUCUUCUUCCAGAAAUCCAUUCAAGAAUGCAGUUUUGACAUCCAUCUGCCAAAUUUCAUAAUCAUAAAAUGCGGCAAUUGCUAACAUGAUUCGGACAGACUUAAGCAUCGCUACGGGUGAGAAGGUCUCAUCGUAGUCAAUCCCUUGAACUUGCCGAAACCCUUUUGCGACAAGUCGAGCUUUGUAGACAGUAACAUUACCAUUGGCGUCAGUCUUCUUCUUGAAGAUCCAUUUAUUCUCAAUUGCUUGCCGAUCAUUGGGCAAGUCAACCAAAGUCCACACUUUGUUCUCAUACAUGGAUCCCAUCUCAGAUUUCAUGGCUUCAAGCCAUUUUGCGGAAUCUGGGCUCACCAUUGCUUCUUCAUAGUUCGUAGGUUCAUCAUGAUCUAGUAGCAUGACUUCCAGAACAGGAUUACCGUACCACUCUGGCACGGAUCUUACUCUGGUUGAUCUACGAGAUUCAGUAGUAUCUUGUUCUGAAGUUUCAUGAUCAUUAUCAUUAGCUUCCUCACUAAUUGGUGUAGGUGUCACAGAAACAGUUUUCUGUGAUGCACUACUUUCCAAUAAGGGAGCAGGUACAGUUACCUCAUCAAGUUCUACUUUCCUCCCACUCACUUCUUUCGAGAGAAACUCCUUCUCUAGAAAGUUUCCGAACUUAGCAACAAAAGUCUUACCUUCGGAUCUGUGAUAGAAGGUGUAUCCAAUAGUCUCCUUUGGAUAUCCUAUGAAGACACAUUUCUCCGAUUUGGGUUCGAGCUUAUCAGGUUGAAGCUUUUUCACAUAAGCAUCGCAGCCCCAAACUUUCAGAAACGACAACUUUGGUUUCUUGCCAAACCAUAGUUCAUAAGGUGUCGUCUCAACGGAUUUUGAUGGUGCCCUAUUUAACGUGAAUGCGGUCGUCUCCAAAGCAUAACCCCAAAACGAUAGCGGUAAAUCAGUAAGAGACAUCAUAGAUCGCACCAUAUCUAGUAAAGUACGAUAACGACGUUCGGACACACCAUUACGCUGUGGUGUUCCGGGUGGCGUGAGUUGCGAAACUAUUCCGCGUUGUUUCAAAUGUACACCAAACUCGUAACUCAAAUAUUCUCCUCCACGAUCAGAUCGGAGAAACUUUAUUUUCUUGUUACGAUGAUUUUCAACUUCACUCUGAAAUUCUUUGAACUUUUCAAACGUUUCAGACUUAUGUUUCAUUAAGUAUAUAUACCCAUAUCUGCUUAAGUCAUCUGUGAAGGUGAGAAAAUAACGAUAUCCGCCAUGAGCCUCAAUAUUCAUCGGACCACAUACAUCUGUAUGUAUGAUUUCCAACAAAUCUGUUGCUCUCUCCAUAGUACCGGAGAACGGCGUUUUAGUCAUCUUGCCCAUGAGGCACGGUUCGCAAGUUCCAAGUGAUUCAUAAUCAAGUGGUUCCAAAAGUCCAUCGGUAUGGAGUUUCUUCAUGCGCUUUACACCGAUAUGACCUAAACGGCAGUGCCACAAAUAAGUUGCACUAUCAUUAUCAACUCUGCAUCUUUUGGCUUCAACAUUAUGAAUAUGUGUGUUACUACUAUCGAGAUUCAAUAAGAAUAGACCACUCUUCAAGGGUGCAUGACCAUAAAAGGUAUUACUCAUAUAAAUAGAACAACCAUUAUUCUCUGAUUUAAAUGAAUAACCGUCUCGCAUCAAACAAUAUCCAGAUAUAAUGUUCAUGCUUAACACUGGCACCAAAUAACAAUUAUUUAGGUCUAAUAUUAAUCCCGAAGGUAGAUGUAGAGGUAGCGUGCCGACUGCGAUCACAUCGACUUUGGAACCGUUUCCCACACGCAUCGUCACCUCGUCCUUAGCCAAUCUUCGCUUAAUCCGUAGUCCCUGUUUCGAGUUGCAGAUAUUAGCAACAGAACCAGUAUCAAAUACCCAGGUGCUACUGCGAGCAUUAGUAAGGUAUACAUCAAUAACAUGUAUAUCACAUAUACCUUUGUUCACCUUGCCAUCCCUCUUAUCCGCCAAAUACUUGGGACAGUUCCGCUUCCAGUGACCAGUCUGCUUGCAGUAAAAGCACUCAGUUUCAGGCUUAGGUCCAGACUUGGGUUUCUUCUCUCGAGCAGCAACUUGCUUGAUGUUCUUCUUGAAGUUCCCCUUCUUCUUCCCUUUGCCCUUUUUCUUGAAACUAGUGGUCUUGUUGACCAUCAACACUUGAUGCUCUUUCUUGAUUUCUACCUCCGCAGCUUUCAGCAUUGCGAAGAGCUCGAGAAUAGUCUUAUUCAUCCCUUGCAUAUUAUAGUUCAUCACGAAGCUCUUGUAGCUUGGUGGAAGUGAUUGGAGAAUUCUGUUAAUGACACUAUCAUCCGGAAGAUUAACUCCCAGUUGAAUCAAGUGAUUACAAUACCCAGACAUCUUGAGUAUAUGCUCACUGACAGAACUGUUCUCCUCCAUCUUGCAGCUAUAGAACUUAUUGGAGACUUCAUAUCUCUCAAUCCGGGCAUUUGCUUGAAAUAUUAACUUCAACUCCUGGAACAUCUCAUAUGCCCCAUGACAUUCAAAACGUCGUUGAAGUCCCGGUUCUAAGCCGUAAAGCAUGGCACAUUGAACUAUCGAGUAGUCAUCAGCUUUGCUCUGCCAGACGUUCAUAACAUCUGGUGUUUCUCCAGCAGCAGGCCUGGCACCCAGCGGUGCUUCCAGGACGUAAUUCUUCUGUGCAGCAAUGAGGAUAAUCCUCAAGUUACGGACCUAGUCCGUGUAAUUGCUACCAUCAUCUUUCAACUUUGCUUUCUCAAGGAACGCAUUAAAAUUCAAUGGAACAACAGCACGGGCCAUCUAUCUACAAUCAAACAUACAUAAGCAACAUACUAUCAGGUACUAAGUUCAUGAUAUAUUUAGGUUCAAUUAAUCAUAUUACUUAAAGAACUCCCACUUAGAUAGACAUCCCUCUAAUCCUCUAAGUGAUUACGUGAUCCAAAUCAACUAAACCAUGUCCGAUCAUCACGUGAGAUGGAGUAGUUUCAUUGGUGAACAUCACUAUGUUGAUCAUAUCUACUAUAUGAUUCAUGCUUGACCUUUCGGUCUCCGUGUUUCGAGGCCAUAUCUGUAUAUGCUUGGCUCGUCAAGUAUAACCUAAGUAUUCCGCGUGUGCAACUGUUUUGCACCCGUUGUAUUUGAACGUAGAGCCUAUCACACCCGAUCAUCACGUGGUGUCUCAGCAUGAAGAACUUUCGCAACGGUGCAUACUCAGGGAGAACACUUCUUGAUAAUUUAGUGAGAGAUCAUCUUAUAAUGCUACCGUCAAUCAAAGCAAGAUAAGAUGCAUAAAAGAUAAACAUCACAUGCAAUCAAUAUAAGUGAUAUGAUAUGGCCAUCAUCAUCUUGUGCUUGUGAUCUCCAUCCUCGAAGCACCAUCGUGAUCACCAUCGUCACCGGCGCGACACCUUGAUCUCCAUCGUAGCAUCAUUGUCGUCUCACCAAUAUCAUGCUUCCACGACUAUCGCUACCGCUUAGUGAUAAAGUAAAGCAUUACAGCGCGAUUGCAUUGCAUACAAUAAAGCGACAACCAUAUGGCUCCUGCCAGUUGCCGAUAACUCGGUUACAAAACAUGAUCAUCUCAUACAAUAAAAUUUAGCAUCAUGUCUUGACCAUAUCACAUCACAACAUGCCCUGCAAAAACAAGUUAGACGUCCUCUACUUUGUUGUUGCAAGUUUUACGUGGCUGCUACGGGCUUAAGCAAGAACCAACCUUACCUACGCAUCACAACCACAACGAUAGUUUUUCAAGUUGGUGCUGUUUUAACCUUCGCAAGGACCGGGCGUAGCCACACUCGGUUCAACUAGAGUUGGAGAAACUGUCACCCGCUAGCCACCUUUGUGCAAAGCACGUCGGGAGAACCGGUCUCGCAUAAGCGUACGCGUAAUGUCGGUCCGGGCCGCUUCGUCCAACAAUACCGCCGAACCAAAGUAUGACAUGCUGGUAAGCAGUAUGACUUAUAUCGCCCACAACUCACUUGUGUUCUACUCGUGCAUAUAACAUCAACACAUAAAACCUAGGCUUGGAUGCCACUGUUGGGUUUCGUAGUAAUUUCAAAAAAAUUCCUACGCACACACAAGAUCAUGGUGAUGCAUAGCAACGAGAGGGGGAGAGUGUGAUCUACGUACCCUUGUAGAUCGACAACAGAAGCGUUAACUUGGUUGAUAUAGUCGUACGUCUCCACGGCCCGACCGAUCAAGCACCGAAACUAUGACACCUCCGAGUUCUAGCACACGUUCAGCUUGAUGACGAUCCCCGGACUCCGAUCCAGCAAAGUGUCGGGGAAGAGUUCCGUCAACACGACGGCGUGGUGACGAUCUUGAUGUACUACCGUCGCAGGGCUUCGCCUAAGCACUGCUACAAUAUUAUCAAGGACUAUGGUGGAAGGGGGCACCGCACACGGCUAAGAAUAUGAUCACGUGGAUCAACUUGUGUCUCUAGGGGUGCCCCGUGCCUCCGUAUAUAAAGGCUCAGAGGGGGGGCUGGCCGGCCAAGAGGUGGCGCGCCAGGAGGAGUCCUACUCCUUCCGGGAGUAGGACUCCCCCCCCUUCCUAGUUGGAAUAGGAUUCGCGGAGGGGGGAAAAGAGGAGAGAGAGGAGGAAGGGGGGCCGGCCCCCUCUCCUUGUCCUAUUCGGACCAAAGGGGGGAGGGGCGCGCGGCCCAUCUCUGGCCACCUCUCCUCUCUUCCACUAAGGCCCACUAAGGCCCAUAUACCUCCCGGGGGGUUCCGGUAACCUCCCGGUACUCCGGUAAAAUCCCGAUUUCACCCGGAACACUUCUGAUAUCCAAACAUAGGCUUCCAAUAUAUCAAUCUUUAUGUCUCGACCAUUUCGAGACUCCUCUUCAUGUCCGCGAUCACAUCCGGGACUCCGAACAACCUUCGGUACAUCAAAAUGUUGGGUAACAUAGCAAUAAUUCAAAAUUUUCCUACGUGUCACCAAGAUCAAUCUAUGGAGUCAUCUAGCAACGAGGGAGGAGUGGAUCUACAUACCCUUGUAGAUCGCGCGCGGAAGCGUUCAAGAGAACGGGGUUGAUGGAGUCAUACUCGUCGUGAUCCAAAUCACCGAUGAUCCUAGCGCCGAACGGACGGCACCUCCGCGUUCAACACACGUACGGAGCAGCGACGUCUCCUCCUUAUUGAUCCAGCAAGGGGGAGGAGAGGUUGAUGGAGAUCCAGCAGCACGACGGCGUGGUGGUGGAAGUAGCGGGAUUCCAACAGGGCUUCGCCAAGCGCUGCGGGAGGAGAGAGAUGUGUCAUGGGAGGGAGAGGGAGGCGCCAGGGCUUAGGUUAGGUUGCCCUCCCUUCCCCCCACUAUAUAUAGGGCCAAGGGAUAGGGGGGUGCAGCCUUGGCCCUUCCUCCAAGGAAGGGUGCGGCCAGGGAGGAGUCCAUCCUCCCCAAGGCACCUAGGAGGUGCCUUCCCCCUUUAGGACUCUUCCUUUCCUUAUCUCUUGGCGCAUGGGCCUCUUGGGGCUGGUGCCCUUGGCCCAUAUAGGCCAAGGCGCACACCCCUACAGCCCAUGUGGCCCCCCGGGGCAGGUGGACCCCCUUGGUGGACCCCCGGACCCCUUUCGGCACUCCCGGUACAAUACCGAUAAUGCGCGAAACUUUUCUGGCGACCAAAACAAGACUUCCCAUAUAUAAAUCUUUACCUCCGGACCAUUCCGGAACUCCUCGUGACGUCCGGGAUCUCAUACGGGACUCCGAACAACUUUCGGGUUACCGCAUACUAAUAUCUCUAUAACCCUAGCGUCACCGAACCUUAAGUGUGUAGACCCUACAGGUUUGGAAGACACGUAGACAUGACCGAGACGACUCUCCGGCCAAUAACCAACAGCGGGAUCUGGAUACCCAUGUUGGCUCCCACAUGCUCCUCGAUGAUCUCAUUGGAUGAACCACGAUGUCGAGGAUUCAAUCAAUCCCGUAUACAAUUCCCUUUGUCUAUCGGUACGAUACUUGCCCGAGAUUCGAUCGUCGGUAUCCCGAUACCUUGUUCAAGCUCGUUACCGGCAAGUCUCUUUACUCGUUCCGUAACACAUCAUCCCGUGAUCAACUCCUUGAUCACAUUGUGCACAUUAUGAUGAUGUCCUACCGAGUGGGCCCAGAGAUACCUCUCCGUCACACGGAGUGACAAAUCCCAGUCUCGAUUCGUGCCAACCCAACAGACACUUUCGGAGAUACCCGUAGUGCACCUUUAUAGUCACCCAGUUACAUUGUGACGUUUGGCACACCCAAAGUAUUCCUACGGUAUCCGGGAGUUGCACAAUCUCAUGGUCUAAGGAAAUGAUACUUGACAUUAGAAAAGCUUUAGCAUACGAACUACAUGAUCUUGUGCUAGGCUUAGGAUUGGGUCUUGUCCAUCACAUCAUUCUCCUAAUGAUGUGAUCCCGUUAUCAAUGACAUCCAAUGUCCAUGGUCAGGAAACCGUAACCAUCUAUUGAUCAACGAGCUAGUCAACUAGAGGCUUACUAGGGACAUGGUGUUGUCUAUGUAUCCACACAUGUAUCUGAGUUUCCUAUCAAUACAAUUCUAGCAUGGAUAAUAAAAAAUUAUCAUGAACAAGGAAAUAUAAUAAUAACUAAUUUAUUAUUGCCUCUAGGGCAUAUUUCCAACACAAAAUGCAUAAACUCAUAAUAUAACUGUCAUCGUAACCUUAAGCGUGCGGACCCUAUGAGUUCGAGAACAAUGUAGACAUGAUCGAGACACGUCUCCGGUCAGUAACCAAUAGCGGAACCUGGAAGCUCAUAUUGGCUCCUACAUAUUCUAUGAAGAUCUUUUAUCGGUCAGACCGCAUAACAACAUACGUUGUUCCCUUUGUCAUCGGUAUGUUACCUGCCCGAGAUUCAAUCGUCGGUAUCCCAUACCUAGUUCAAUCUCGUUACCGACAAGUCUCUUUACUCGUUCCAUAAUACAUCAUCCCGCAACUAACUCAUUAGUUGCAAUGCUUGCAAGGAUUAAGUGAUGUGCAUUACCGAGAGGGCCCAGAGAUACCUCUCCGACAAUCGGAGUGACAAAUCCUAAUCUCGAAAUAUGCCAACCCAACAUGUACCUUUGGAGACACCUAUAGAGCACCUUUAUAAUCACCCAGUUACAUUGUGACGUUUGGUAGCACACAAAGUGUUCCUCCGGCAAACGGGAGUUGCAUAAUCUCAUAGUCAUAGGAACAUGUAUAAGUCAUGAAGAAAGCAAUAGCAACAUACUAAACGAUCGGGUGCUAAGCUAAUGGAAUGGGUCAUGUCAAUCAGAUCAUUCAACUAAUGAUGUGAUCCCGUUAAUCAAAUGACAACUCUUUGUCCAUGGUUAGGAAACAUAACCAUCUUUGAUUAACGAGCUAGUCUAGUAGAGGCAUACUAGUGACACUCUGUUUGUCUAUGUAUUCACACAUGUAUUAUGUUUCCGGUUAAUACAAUUCUAGCAUGAAUAAUAAACUUUUAUCAUGAUAUAAGGAAAUAAAUAAUAACUUUAUUUUUGCCUCUAGGGCAUAUUUCCUUCAUAUUGAUGGGCAUCUCCAUAGUCCGUUGAUACGCCUAGUUGAUGUGAGACUAUAUUCUCCCUUUUUGUCUUCUCCACAACCACCACUCUAUUCCGCCUAUAGUGCUAUAUCCAUGGCUCACGCUCAUGUAUUGCGUGAAGAUUGAAAAAGUUUUGAGAAUGUCAAACGUAUGAAACAAUUGCUUGGCUUGUCAUCGGGGUUGUGCAUGAUUUAAAUAUUUUGUGUGGUGAAGAUAGAGCAUAGCCAGACUAUAUGAUUUUGUAGGGAUAACUUUCUUUAGCCAUGUUAUUUUGAGAAGACAUAAUUGCUUUGUUAAUAUGCUUGAAGUAUUAUUAUUUUUAUGUCAAUAUGAACUUUUGUCUGGAAUCUUUCGGAUCUGAAUAUUCAUACCACAAUUGAGAAGAAUUAUAUUAAAUUAUGCUAAGUAGCACUCUGCAUCAAAAAAUCUGUUUUUAUCAUUUACCUACUCGAGGACGAGCAGGAAUUAAGCUUCGGGAUGCUUGAUACAUCUCCAACGUAUCUAUAAUUUUUGAUUGCUCCAUGCUAUAUUAUCUACUGUUUUGGACAUUAUUUGGCUUUAUUAUCCACUUUUAUAUUAUUUUUAGGACUAACCUAUUAACCGGAGGCCCAGCCCAGAAUUGCUGUUUUUUGCCUGUUUUAGGGUUUCGAAGAAAAGGAAUAUAAAAUGGAGUCCAAACGGAAUGAAACCUUCGGGAACGUGAUUUUUAGGAAGAUUAUGAUCCGUGAGACUCGGACCAUACGUCAAGAAAAGAAACAGGAGGCCAUGAGGAAGGGGGGCGCGCCCACCCCCACCAGGCGCACCCUCCACCCUCGUGUCCCCCUGUUGCUCCACCGACGUACUCCUUCCUCCUAUAUAUAUCCACGUAUCCCCAAACAAUCAGAUACGGAGCCAAAAACCUAAUUCCACCGCCGCAACUUUCUGUAUCCACGAGAUCCCAUCUUGGGGCCUGUUUCGGAGCUCCUCCGGAGGGGGCAUCGAUCACGGAGGGCUUCUACAUCAACACCAUAGCCUCUCCGAUGAAGUGUGAGUAGUUUACUUCAGACCUACGGGUCCAUAGUUAGUAGCUAGAUGGCUUCUUCUCUCUUUUUGGAUCUCAAUACAACGUUAGCACCCUCUCUUGUGGAGAACUAUUCGAUGUAAUCUUCUUUUUGCGGUGUGUUUGUUGAGACCGAUAAAUUGUGGGUUUAUGAUCAAGUCUAUCUAUGAAUAAUAUUUGAGUCUUCUCUAAAUUCCUUUAUGUAUGAUUAAUUAUCUUUGCAAGUCUCUUUGAAUUAUCAGUUUGGUUUGGCCUACUAGAUUGAUCUUUCUUGCAAUGGGAGAAGUGCUUAGCUUUGAGUUCAAUCUUGCGGUGUCCUUUCCCGGUGACAGUAAGGGAAGCAAGGCACGUAUUGUAUUGUUGCCAUCGAGGAUAACAAGAUGGGGUUUUCUUCAUAUUGCAUGAGUCUAUCCCUCUACAUCAUGUCAUCUUGCUUAAGGCGUUACUCUAUUUUUAACUUAAUACUCUAGAUGCAUGCUGGAUAGCGGUCGAUGAGUGUAGUAAAAGUAGUAGAUGCAGAAUCGUUUCGAUCUACUUGUCACGGACGUGAUGCCUAUAUACAUGAUCAUACCUAGAUAUUCUCAUAACUAUGCUCAAUUCUGUCAAUUGCUCAACAGUAAUUUGUUCACCCACCAUAGAAUACUUAUGCUCUCGAGAGAAGCCACUAGUGAAACCUAUGGCCCCCGGGUCUAUCUUUAUCAUAUGGAUCUCCUACUACUUAGUUAUUUCCUUUGCUAUUUACUUUGCCUUUAUUUUACUUUGCAUCUUUUAUCAUAAAAAUACCAAAAAUAUUAUCUUAUCAUAUAUAUCAGAUCUAACUCUCGUAAGUGGCCCUAUAGGGAUUGACAACCCCUAUUUGCGUUGGUUGCGAGGAUUUAUUUGUUUUGUGCAGGUGCGAGGGACUCACGCAUAGCCUCCUACUGGAUUGAUACCUUGGUUCUCAAAAACUGAGGGAAAUACUUACGCUACUUUGCUGCAUCAUCCCUUCCUCUUCGGGGAAAACCAACGCAGUGCUCAAGAGGUAGCACCUCCUAAUGGGACUUCUCACGCUCUGGUAGAGCAGGGAUGGUGUAGCCCCAACGUGAUCACUACACGCCCGACGACUGCGUCGAACCACUGGUUCCGUAAUUCAAAGCAUUCAAGAUUUUCACACUAAAUGUAUGCAUUGAUACGUCCAUUUUGCAUCAUGCUUUUAUAUCGAUAUUUAUUGCAUUAUGGGCUGUUAUUACACAUUAUGUCACAAUACUUAUGCCUAUUCUCUCUUAUUUUACAAGGUUUACAUAAAGAGGGAGAAUGCCGGCAGCUGGGAUUCUAGGCUGAAAAGGGAGCAAAUAUUAGAGACCUAUUCUGCACAGCUCCAAAAGUCCUGAAACUUCACGGAAGAUGUUUUCCAAAUAUAUAAAAAAUACUGAGAGCAAGAACUUCACCAAGGGGGGCACACCCUGCCCACGAGGGUGGGGGGGCNNNNNNNNNNNNNNNNNNNNNNNNNNNNNNNNNNNNNNNNNNNNNNNNNNNNNNNNNNNNNNNNNNNNNNNNNNNNNNNNNNNNNNNNNNNNNNNNNNNNNNNNNNNNNNNNNNNNNNNNNNNNNNNNNNNNNNNNNNNNNNNNNNNNNNNNNNNNNNNNNNNNNNNNNNNNNNNNNNNNNNNNNNNNNNNNNNNNNNNNNNNNNNNNNNNNNNNNNNNNNNNNNNNNNNNNNNNNNNNNNNNNNNNNNNNNNNNNNNNNNNNNNNNNNNNNNNNNNNNNNNNNNNNNNNNNNNNNNNNNNNNNNNNNNNNNNNNNNNNNNNNNNNNNNNNNNUGGUGGCCCUCCGGUGGCCAUCUUCUACUAUAUGGAAUCUUUUGAUGGGAAAAAAUCAUAAGCCAUCUUCUCGGACGAAACUCCGCCGCCACGAGGCAGAACCUUGGCGGAACCAAUCUAGGAUUCUGGCGGGGCUGUUCUGCCGGGGAAACUUCCCUCCCGAAGGGGGAAAUCAUCGCCAUCGUCAUCACCAACGCUCCUCUCAUCGGGAGAGGGCAAUCUCCAUCAACAACUUCAUCAGCAUCAUCUCAUCUCAAAACCCUAGUUCAUCUCUUGUAUCCAAUUCUUGUCUCCAAGUCCGGGAUUGGUGCUAGUAGGUUGCUAGUAGUGUUAAUUACUCCUUGUAGUUGAUGCUAGUUGGUUUAAUUGGUGGAAGAUCAUAUGUUCAGAUCCUAUAUGCACAUUAAUACCCCUCUGAUUAUGAACAUGUUUAUGCUUUGUCAGUAGUUACUUUUGUUCCUGAGGACAUGGGAGAAGUCUUGCUAUUAGUAGUCAUGUGAAUUUGGUAUUCGUUCGAUAUUUUGAUGAGAUGUAUGUUCUCUCUCCUCUAGUGGUGUUAUGUGAACGUCGACUACAUGAAACUUCACCAUUGUUUGGGCCUAGAGGAAGGCAUUGGGAAGUAAUAAGUAGAUGAUGGGUUGCUAGAGUGACAGAAGCUUAAACCCUAGUUUAUGCAUUGCUUCGUAAGGGGCUGAUUUGGAUCCAUAUGUUUCAUGCUAUGGUUAGGUUUACCUUAAUACUUUUGUUGUAUUUGCGGAUGCUUGUAAUAGAGGUUAAUCAUAAGUGGGAUGCUUGUCCAAGUAAGGGCAGCACCCAAGCACCGGUCCACCCACAUACCAAAUUAUCAAAGUACCGAACGUGAAUCAUAUAAACGUGGUGAAAACUAGCUUGACAAUAUUCCCAUGUGUCCUCGGGAGCGCUUUACAUCAUAUAAGAGUUUGUCCAGGCUUGUCCUUUGCUACAAAAAGGAUUGGGCCACCUUGCUGCACCUUAUUUACUUUUGUUACUUGUUGCUUGUUACAAAUUAUCUUAUCACAAAACUAUCUGUUACCACUUAUUUCAGUACUUGCAGAGAAUACCUUGCUGGAAACCGCUUAUCAUUUCCUUCUCCUCCUCGUUGGGGUCGGCACUCUUACUUAUUGAAAGGAAUACGAUAGAUCCCCUAUACUUGUGGGUCAUCAAGACUCUUUUCUGGCGCCGUUGCCGGGGAGUGAAGCACCUUUGGUAGGUGGAAUUUGGUAAGGAAAAAUUUAUAUAGUGUGCUGAAAUUUAAUGUCAUUUGUUACUGUGGAAAGUAAUCCUCUAAGGGGCUUGUUCGGGGUAUCUUCAGCCCGACCAAUAGAGCAAAGAGUUGCUCCUCAACCUACUGAACCUACUGAAAAUGAAAAUGCUUGCUUUGAAAUUCCUUUGGGUAUGGUAGAAAAACUGCUAGCUAAUCCUUUUUUAGGAGAUGGAACAAAACAUCCUGAUGGGCAUCUAAUAUAUGUGGAUGAAGUUUGUGGAUUAUUUAAGCUUGCAGGUAUACCCGGAGAUGUUUUUAAGAAGAAGGUCUUCCCUUUAUCUUUGAGGGGAGAUGCAUCGACGUGGUAUAGGCUAUGUGAUGAUAUGGAGUCUUGGAACUACAACGAUCGAAAUUGGAAUUUCAUCAAAAGUUUUAUCCUAUGCAUCUUGUUCAUCGUGAUCGCAAUUAUAUAUAUAAUUUUUGGCCUCGCGAAGGAGAAAGCAUCGCUCAAGCUUGGGGAGGCUUAAAUCAAUGUUAUAUUCAUGCCCCAAUCAUGAGCUCUCAAGAGAAAUGAUUAUUAAAAAAAUUUAUGCUCGGCUUUCUGGUAACAAUUACACCAUGCUUGAUACUUCUUGUGCUGGCUCUUUUAUGAUGAAUAAUAUUGAAUUCAAAUGGGAUUUAUUGGAAAGAAUUAAACGCAACUCCGAAGAUUGGGACCUCGACAAUGGUAAUAAGUUAGGUAUGACACCUAGUUUUGGUUGUGUUAAAUCUUUUAUGGAUACCGAUAUUUUUCGUAAAUUUAGCACUAAAUAUGGACUUGACUCUGAGAUAGUAGCUUCUUUCUGUGAAUCUUUUGCUGCUUAUGUUGAUCUCCCCAAGGAGAAGUGGUUUAAAUAUCAUCCUCCCAUAGAAGUAAAAGUAGCUGCACCAAUUAAGGUUGAAGAAAAGGCUAUUACUUAUAAUGAUCCUAUUGUUCCUACUUCUUAUGUUAAGAAACCACCCUUCCCUGUUAGGAUAAAGGAUCAUGCUAAAGCUUCAACUGUGGUUCGUAAAAGCAAUAUUAAAACAUAUACACCUCCUGAGCAAGUUAAAGUUGAACCUAAUAUUACUAUUGUUAAAGAUCUCUUGUCUGAUAAUAUAGAUGGGCAUGUUAUUUAUUUCUGUAAUGAAACUGCUAGAAUUGAUAAACCCCGUGAUACAGAUAAACCUAGACCUGUGAUAGGCAUGCCUGUUAUUUCUGUUAAAUAGGAGAUCAUUGUUAUCAUGGCUUGUGUGAUAUGGGUGCUAGUGCUAGUGCAAUACCUUAUUCUUUAUACCAAGAAGUUAUGCAUGAUAUUGCACCUGCUGAGAUGGAAGAUAUUGAUAUUACAAUUAAACUUUCUAAUAGAGAUACUAUUUCACCAAUGGGAAUUGUUAGACAUGUUGAAGUCUUGUGUGGGAAAACUAAAUAUCCUGCUGAUUUUCUUGUUCUUGGUUCCCCACAAGAUAGUUUUUGUCCCAUUAUAUUUGGUAGACCCUUCUUCAAUACGGUUAAUGCUACCAUAUAUUGCAAAAGGGAUGUUGUUACUGUCGGUUUAGAUGAUAUGACUCAUGAAUUUAAUUUUUCUAAAUUUAGUAGACAACACCGUGAAGAAGAAUUACCUAGUAAGGAUGAAAUUAUUGGUCUUGCUUCUAUUGCCGUACCUCCUAGUGAUCCGUUAGAACAAUAUUUGCUAGACCAUGAAAAUGACAUGUUUAUGAAUGAAAGAAGGGAAUUAGAUGAAGUAUUCUUUAAAUAGGAACCUAUUCUGAAAAACAAUUUACCUGUUGAAAUCCUAGGGGAUCCUCCUCCACCCAAGGGUGAUUCCGUGUUUGAGCUUAAACCAUUACCUGAUACUCUUAAAUAUGCUUAUUUUGAUGAGAAAAAGAUAUACCCUGUUAUUAUUAGUGCUAACCUUUCAGAACAUGAAGAAGAGAGAUUAUUAAAAACUCUGAAGAAGCACCGUGCUGCUAUUGGGUAUACUCUUGAUGAUCUUAAGGGCAUUAGUCCCACUCUAUGUCAACAUAAAAUUAAUUUGGAAGAAGAUGCUAAACCAGUUCAUGAUCAUCAACGUCGUCUGAAUCCUAAAAUGAAAGAAGUGGUAAGAAAGGAGAUACUAAAGCUCCUUGAGGCAGGUAUAAUUUAUCCCAUUGCUGAUAGUAAGUGGGUAAGUCCUAUCCAUUGUGUCCCUAAGACGGGAGGUAUUACUGUUGUUCCUAAUGGUAAAGAUGAAUUGAUUCCUCAAAGAAUUAUUACUAGUUAUAGGAUGGUAAUUGAUUUCCACAAAUUAAAUAAGGCUACUAAAAAAGAUCAUUACCCCUUACCUUUUAUCGAUCAAAUGCUAGAAAGAUUAUCCAAACAUACACAUUUUUGCUUUCUAGAUGGUUAUUCUGGUUUCUCUCAAAUACCUGUGUCAGCCAAAGAUCAAUCAAAGACUACUUUUACAUGCCCUUUUGGUACUUUUGCUUAUAGACGUAUGCCUUUUGGUUUAUGUAAUGCACCUGCUACCUUUCAAAGAUGCAUGAUGGCUAUAUUCUCUGACUUUUGUGAAAAGAUCUGUGAGGUUUUCAUGGAUGACUUUUCCGUCUAUGGAUCUUCUUUUGAUGAUUGCUUGAAUUGGGAAAAGUGCCACUUUAUGGUUAAUGAAGGUAUUGUCCUGGGGCAUAAAGUUUUUGAAAGAGGUAUUGAAGUUGAUAAAGCCAAGGUUGAUGCUAUUGAAAAGAUGCCAUGUCCCAAGGACAUCAAAGGUAUAAGAAGUUUCCUUGGUCAUGCCAGUUUUUAUAGGAGGUUCAUCAAGGACUUCUCAAAAAUCUCUCGGCCUCUGACUAAUUUAAAAAAGAUAUACCAUUUGUCUUUGAUAAUGAUUGUGUAGAAGCAUUUGAAAUACUUAAGAAAGCAUUGAUCUCUGCACCUAUUGUUCAGCCACCUGAUUGGAAUUUACCCUUUGAAAUUAUGUGCGAUGCUGGCAAUUAUGUUGUAGGUGUUGUUCUAGGACAAAGAGUUGAUAAGAAACUAAAUGUUAUUCAAUAUGCUAGUAAAACUCUAGACGAUGCUCAAAGAAAUUAUGCUGCUACUGAAAAUGAAUUCUUAGUAGUGGUAUUUGCUUGUGAUAAGUUUAGACCUUAUAUUGUUGAUUCUAAGGUAACUAUUCACACUGAUCAUGCUGCUAUUAAAUAUCUUAUGGAAAAGAAAGAUGCUAAACCUAGACUUAUUAGAUGGGUUCUCUUGCUACAAGAAUUCGAUUUACAUAUUGUUGAUAGAAAGGGAGCUGAGAACCCCGUUGCAGACAACUUGUCUAGGUUAGAAAAUGUGCUUGAUGACCCACUACCUAUUGAUGAUAGCUUCCCUGAUGAGCAAUUAAAUGUCAUAAAUACUUCUCAUACUGCUCCAUGGUAUGCUGACUAUGCUAAUUACAUUGUUGCUAAGUUUAUACCACCUAGUUUCACAUACCAGCAAAAGAAAAAGUUCUUCUAUGAUUUGAGGCAUUAAUUUUGGGAUGACCCACAUCUUUAUAAAGAAGGAGUAGAUGGUGUUAUUAGACGUUGUGUACCUAAGCAUGAACAUGAACAGAUCAUACGCAAGUGUCACUCCGAAGCUUAUGGAGGACACCAUGCUGGAGAUAGAACUGCACAUAAGGUACUGCAAUCUAGUUUUUAUUGGCCUACUCUCUUUAAGGAUGCCCGUAAGUUUGUCUUAUCUUGUGAUGAAUGUCAAAGAAUUGGUAAUAUUAGUAGACGUCAAGAAAUGUCUAUGAAUUAUUCACUUGUUAUUGAACCAUUUGACGUUUGGGGAUUUGACUAUAUGGGACCUUUUCCUUCCUCUAAUGGUUGUACACAUAUUUUAGUUGUUAUUGAUUACGUUACUAAGUGGGUAGAAGAUAUUCCAACUAGUAGUGUUGAUCAUAACACUUCUAUUAAAAUGCUUAAAUAAGUUAUUUUUCCAAGGUUUGGAGUCCCUAGAUAUUUAAUGACUGAUGGUGGUUCACAUUUUAUUCAUGGCGCUUUCCGUAAAAUGCUUGCUAAAUAUGAUGUUAAUCAUAGAAUUGCAUCUCCUUAUCACCCUCAGUAUAGUGGUCAAGUAGAAUUGAGUAAUAGAGAACUCAAAUUAAUUUUGCAAAAGAUUGUUAAUAGGUCCAGAAAGAAUUGGUCCAAGAAACUUGAUGAUGCAUUAUGGGCCUAUAGAACUGCAUAUAAAAAUCCUAUGGGUAUGUCUUCGUAUAAAAUGGUCUAUGGAAAAGCAUGUCACUUACCUCUCGAACUAGAACACAAGGCUUAUUGGGAUAUUAAAGAACUUACUUAUGAUUUUAAACUUGCCGGUGAGAAGAGGUUAUUUGAUAUUAGCUCACUUGAUGAAUGGAGAACCCAGGCCUACGAAAAUGCCAAGUUGUUUAAAGAAAAGGUUAAAAGAUGGCAUGACAAAAGGAUACAAAAGCAUGAGUUUAACGUAGGUGAUUAUGUAUUGCUAUACAACUCUCGUUUAAGAUUUUUUGCAGGAAAACUUCUCUCUAAAUGGAAGGGUCCUUACGUUAUCGAGGAGGCCUACCGUUCCGGUGCCAUAAAAAUCAACAACUUUGAAGGCACAAAUCCGAAGGUGGUGAACGGUCAAAGAAUCAAACACUAUAUCUCAGGUAAUCCCGUAGAUGUUGAAACCAAUGUUAUUGGAACCGUAACCUCGGAGGAAUACAUAAAGGACACUUUUCGGAACGUUUCAGACUCCGAAAAGGAAUAGGUACGUGGUACGGUAAGUAAACCGACUCCAAAACAGUUUUUAAGGCAAUAUUUCUCCGUUUUGGAAUAUUUAGAAAAAUAGAAAAAUAAGCAGCAGUCCGGAAAGGACACGAGGGCUCCACGACGGUGGAGGGCGCGCCCUACCCCCCUGGGCGCGCCCCCUACCUCGUGGGCACCUCGUGUGCUCUCCGGACUCAGUUUUCGUACACGACACGUAUUUUGGGCGGUAAAAAUUCAUUAUAUAACCUCCCGGGGGUUUUGACUCCCGUAUCACGCAAAAAUCUCCUGUCUUUGUUUCGAGCUGUUUUUCUGACAGAUCUAGAUUAUCAUGACGUCUCCAAGUGCUCCCAAGGACAAGUUCUUUGACAAGGUCAUCAACCCUUACCUCGCGGAGGUGCAGCGACACCCUCAAACCAUUAAGGUGCGUGAUGGGUGGCUGCACAUCCGUGAUGCUAAGGGACCAAAGGGGAACGGAAGCGUGGAGACGAGGCUCGAAGCAAUGCAGCAACAAGUUUUCAAGUGUCAAGGGAUGGUGGAGCGUGGACUCAACUCCAACUACAUGAUGAUCGGAGAGUUCACCAACAAACACAAGCUGGAUGCCGACAACAUCAGGGAGACCAUCUUCAAGCUUCAUGAGAAAAUCGAGCACCUUCAAGCUCAGAUCUAUGACCUGCAAAACCAAAACUGUGAGUAUGAAUAUAGAUUCGAAAGGAUGAGUUUGGCUACAGAUUUGAGGAUCCCGGAAACUCGGCCAUCCUUCUAUGACGGUGAGCCUAUGCCUUGGAAGAAGGACGACAAGCCUACGCCAUCAACAAAAUCACCAUCGUAUCCACCAACAAAGAAGACAUAAUCACCUGGGUAUGGGCACUCCACUUGGCAACUGCCAAGUGAUACGUCUCCAACGUAUCUAUAAUUUUUGAUUGCUCCAUGCUAUAUUAUCUACUGUUUUGGACUAUAUUGGGCUUUAUUUUCCACUUCUAUAUUAUUUUUGGGACUAACCUAUUAACCGAAGGCCCAGCCCAGAAUUGUUGUUUUUUGCCUAUUUCAGUGUUUCGAAGAAACGGAAUAUCAAAUGGAGUCCAAAUGGAAUAAAAUCUUCGGGAACAUGAUUUUCUCACCGAACGUGAUCCAGGAGACUUGGACCCUGCUCCAAGGAACAAAAGAGGCGGUCACGAGGGUGGGGGGCGCCCCCCCUAGGACGCGCCCCCAGCCUCGUGGGCCCCUCGUUGCUCCUCCGGCGUACUUCUUCCUCCUAUAUAUACACACGUACCCCCAAACGAUCAGAACAGGAGCCAAAAGCCUAAUUCCACCGCCGCAACUUUCUGUAUCCACGAGAUCCCAUCUUGGGGCCUGUUCCGGAGCUCCGCCGGAAAAGGGCCGUCAUCACGGAGGCCUUCUACAUCAUCCUAGCCCCUCCGAUGAAGUGUGAGUAGUUUACCUCAGACCUUCGGGUCCAUAGUUAGUAGCUAGAUGGCUUCUUCUCUCUCUUUGAAUCUCAAUACAAAGUUCUCCCCCUCUCUUGUGGAGAUCUAUUCGAUGUAAUCUUCUUUUUGCGGUGUGUUUGUUGAGACCGAUGAAUUGUGGGUUUAUGAUCAAGUCUAUCUAUGAAUAAUAUUUGAAUCUUCUCUGAAUUCUUUUAUGCAUGAUUGGUUAUCUUUGCAAUUCUCUUCGAAUUAUCCGUUUGGUUUGGCCAACUAGAUUGGCAGUUCUUGCCAUGGGAGAAGUGCUUAGCUUUGGGUUCGAUCUUGCGGUGUCCUUACCCAGUGACAUAAGGGGCAGCAAGGCACGUAUUGUAUCGUUGCCAUUGAGGAUAACAAGAUGGGGUUUAUUUCAUAUUGCAUGAACUUAUCUCUCUACAUCAUGUCAUCUUGCUUAAGGCGUUACUCUGUUUUUAACUUAAUACUCUAGAUGCAUGCUGGAUAGCGGUCGAUGAGUGGAGUAAUAGUAGUAGAUGCAGAAUCGUUUCGAUCUACUUGUCACGGACGUGAUGUCUAUAUACAUGAUCAUGCCUAGAUAUUCUCAUAACUAUGCUCAAUUCUGUCAAUUGCUCAACAGUAAUUUGUUCACCCACUGUACAAUACUUAUGCUCUUGAGAGAAGCCACUAGUGAAACCUAUGGCCCCCGGGUCUAUUCUCAUCAUAUUAAUCUCCAACACUUUAAUCUUGUUUUGCUUUUCAUUUUGCUUUUACUUUUUACUUUGCAUAUUUAUACCAAAAAUACCAAAAAUAGUAUAUCUAUCAGAUCUCACUCUCGUAAGUGACCGUGAAGGGAUUGACAACCCCUAAUCGCGUUGGUUGCGAGUAGCUAUCGCUUUGUGCAGGUACGAGGGACUUGAGCGUUGGCUCCUACUGGAUUGAUACCUUGGUUCUCAAAAACUGGGGGAAAUACUUACGCUACUCUGCUGCAUCAUCCCUUCCUCUUCGGGGAAAACCAACGCAAGCUCAAGACAUAGCAAGAAGGAUUUCGGCGCCGUUACCAGGGAGUCUACGCAAAAAGUCAACAUACCAAGUACCCAUCAAAAUCCCUAUCUCUCGCAUUACAUUAUUUGCCAUUUGCCUCUCGUUUUCCUCUCCCCCCAAUUCACCCUUGCCGUUUUAUUUGCCCUCUCUCUCUCUCUAUCCUCCCUCUCUAUUUGCCUCUUUUUGCCCGUUUGCCUCUUGUUUGCUUGUGUGCUAGUUUGUUUGCUUGUCGUCAUGACUAGUCUCAUAUCUUCUCCGUUGUCCCCCGAGAGUGAAGUUCUAAAUUUUAAACAAAGGGAGGGAGAAAAUCUAAAAGAUGCUUGGUAUAGAAUUUGCAAUGCUCAAAAUAGAUCUACCAGAAAAAAAUCUACCUUAGUUCUUCUCCGUAAUUUUUAUGUAGCUGUUAAUCCUUGGUAUAGAUAUAUCCUUGAUACCAUUACCAGAAGGAACUUCUUGGGUAGCCAUACUUUUGAUUCUUAUAAUGCUAUGCUAAAUUUAUUUGCCUCACCACCUCUUUUGGUUAAUGGAACCACGUUAACUUUGGAGCAUGUUAUGCAAAGACUUGAAAUUAUCAAAAAUAAAGUUGCUACUGUUGAAUCAAUUGAAAAUAUAGAUAAAAAGAUCCACAAUCAAAUUACUCAAUAUGGAUCUAAGGUAGGAAUGACUUUGAAAAAUAUUAAGGAAAAAGAACCCAUAGUUAAUGAGAGAAUGAACUUAGAUUCUACUAGAAUUGAUAAACUUGAGGGUAUCAUUACAAACUUGGGAACCGCUUUUUCUUCCGUAAAGAAUACUCCAAGUCCUCCUACUAAAAUUUCCAAGCUUAUGUAUGUUCCUAAAAAUAAGGUUGAAUCAUCUAGUAAGGAAACUGCGGAUCUUAAAUCUAUAAGUGUUCAUCCCAAUCUUUUUGCUAUCAUUAAGGAACCAUUUAUUACAAAUGAAUUUUUCGAUCCUGUGCCUAAAAGUUUGAUAAUUAAUAAAAAGAAAGAAAUUCCUAAAGAUGGUAGAUGUCUAAUUGAAUAAUUGCCUACCAAAGAUGGCAAUACCUAGAUCUAUCCUCGCUUUUAUGCCUAGCUAGGGGCGUUAAACGCUAGCGCUUGUUGGGAGGCAACCCAAUUUUAUUUUUAUUCCUUGCUUUUUGCUCCUACUUAGUAAUAAAUAAAUUAUUUAGCCUCUGUUUUGGUUGUGUUUUUUGUGUUUAAUUAGUGUUUGUGCCAAGUAGAACCGUUGGGAAGACUUGGGGAAAGUCUUAUUGAACUUGCUGUAAAAACAGAAACUUUAGCGCUCACGAGAACUGCUGUCAUUUUUAUUUGAAGAGUGAUAUUUAGUUAAUUCUUUUUGAAGAUGAUUAAUAGAUAAAUUCCUCACGUCCAGAAAUUUAUUUUAGAAUUUUUGGGGUUCCAGAUCUUGCGCUAGCUACAGAUUACUACAGACUGUUCUGUUUUUGACAGAUUCUAUUUUUCGUGUGUUGUUUGCUUAUUUUGAUGAAUCUAUGGCUAGUAAAAUAGUUUAUAAUCCAUAGAGAAGUUGGAAUAAAGUAGGUUUAACACCAAUAUAAAUAAAGAAUGAGUUCAUUACAGUACCUUGAAGUGGUCUUUUGUUUUCUUUCGCUAACGGAGCUCACGAGUUUUCUAUUUUGAGUUUUGUGUUCUGAAGUUUUCAAGUUUUGGGUGAAUUCUUUUGAUGGAUCAUGGAACAAGGAGUGGCAAGAUCCUAAGCUUGGGGAUGCCCAUGGCACCCCCAAGAUAAUCCAAGGACACCAAAAAGUCAAAGCUUGGGGAUGCCCCGGAAGGCAUCCCCUCUUUCGUCCACUUCCAUCGGUAAUUUACUUGGAGCUAUAUUUUUAUUCACCAACAUGAUAUGUGUUUUGCUUGGAGCGUCUUGUAUUAUUUGUGUCUUUUUGUCUUAUUAUGCCACAAUCAUCCUUGCUGUACACACCUUUUGAGAGAGCCAUACAUGAAUUAAAAUUUGAUAGAAUACUCUAUGUGCUUCACUUAUAUCUUUUGAGCUAAGUAGUUUUGCUCUAUGUGCUUCACUUAUAUCUUUUGAGCUAAGUAAUUUUGCUCUAUGUGCUUCACUUAUAUCUUUUGACCGUUAUAAUUUUGCUCUAUGUGCUUCACUUAGAUCUUUUAGAGCACGGUGGUGGAUUCGUUUUAAAGAAACUAUUGAUCUCUCAUGCUUCACUUAAAUUAUUUUGAGAGUCUCUUAAUAGCAUGGUAAUUUGCUUAAUAAUAAUAUGCUUGGUAUUCAAGAUUUGUGAAACUUUCUUUUGAGUGUGUUGAAUACUAAGAAAAUAUUGAAGCAUGAUAAUUGUUUUGAGAUAUGGAGGUGAUAAUAUUAAAGUCAUGCUAGUUUAGUAGUUGUGAAUUUAAAGAAUACUUGUGUUAGAGUUUGUGAUUCCCGUAGCAUGCACGUAUGGUGAACCGUUAUGUGACAAAGUCGGAGCAUGAUUUGUUUAUUGAUUGUCUUCCUUAUGAGUGGCGUUCGGGGACGAGCGAUGGUCUUUUCCUACCAAUCUAUCCCCCUAGGAGUAUGCACGUAAUACUUUGCUUUGAUAACUUCUAGAUUUUUGCAAUAAGUAUAUGAGUUCUUUAUGACUAAUGUUGAGUCCAUGGAUUAUACGCACUCUCACCCUUCCACCUUUGCUAGCCUCUCUAAUACUGCGCACCUUUCGCUGGUAUCAUACACCUACCAUAUACCUUCCUCAAAACAGCCACCAUACCUACCUAUUAUGGCAUUUCCAUAGCCAUUCCGAGAUAUAUUGAUAUAUUGCCAUGCAACUUUCCACCAUCUAGUUCAUCAUGACACAUCCAUCAUUGUCAUAUUGCAUAUCCCGGUACACCGCCAGAUGCAUUCACAUAGAGUCAUAUUUUGUUCUAAGUAUCGAGUUGUAAUUGUUGAGUUAUAAGAAAAAUAAAAGUGUGAUGAUCAUCAUUAUUAGAGCAUUCUCCCAGUGAGGAAAGAAUGAUGGAGACUAUGAUUCCCCCAUAAGUCGGGAUGAGACUCCGGACGAAAAAUAAAAUAAAAUAAAGGCCAAAGAAGCCCAAAUAGAAAAAAGGGAGGCCAUAAAAAAGAGAAAAGGCCCAAAUAAAAAAAUGAGAGAAAAAGAGAGAAGGGACAAUGUUACUAUCCUUUUACCACACUUGUGCUUCAAAGUAGCAGCAUGAUCUUCAUAGUAGAGAGUCUCUCAUGUCAUCACUUUCAUAUACUAGUGGGAAUUUUUCAUUAUAGAACUUGGCUUGUAUAUUCCAAUGAUGGGCUUCCUCAAAAUUGCCCUAGGUCUUCGUGAGAAAGCAAGUUGGAUGCACACCCACUUAGUUUCUUUUUGAGCUUUCAUAUACUAAUAGCUCUAGUGCAUCCGUUGCAUGGCAAUCCCUACUCACUCACAUUGAUAUCUAUUGAUGGGCAUCUCCAUAGACCGUUGAUACGCCUAGUUGAUGUGAGACCAUCUUCUCCAUUUUUGUCUUCUCCACAACCACCAUUCUAUUCCACCUAUAGUGCUAUAUCCAUGGCUCACGCUCAUGUAUUGCGUGAAGGUUGAAAAAGUUUUGAAAAAUUUAGAGUAUGAAACAAUUGCUUGGCUUGUCAUCGGGGUUGUGCAUAAUUUAAAUACUUUGUGUGGUGAAGAUGGAGCAUAGCCAGACUAUAUGAUUUUGUAGGGAUAACUUUCUUUGGCCAUGUUAUUUUGAGAAGACAUAAUUGCUUUAUUAGUAUGAUUGAAGUAUUAUUAAUUUUUAUGUCAAUAUAAACUUUUGUCUUGAAUCUUUCGGAUCUGAAUAUUCAUACCACAAUUAAGAAGAUUUACAUUGAAAUUAUGCCAAGUAGCACUCCGCAUGAAAAAUUCUCUUUUUAUCAUUUACCUACUCGAGGACGAGCAGGAAUUAAGCUUGGGGAUGCCUGAUACGUCUCCAACGUAUCUAUAUUUUUGAUUGCUCCAUGCUAUAUUAUCUACUGUUUUGGACUAUAUUGGGCUUUAUUUUCCACUUUUAUAUUAUUUUUGGGACUAACCUAUUAACCAAAGGCCCAGCCCAGAAUUGCUGUUUUUUGCCUAUUUCAGUGUUUCGAAGAAACGGAAUAUCAAAUGGAGUCCAAAUGGAAUAAAAUCUUCGGGAACGUGAUUUUCUCACCGAACGUGAUCCAGGAGACUUGGACCCUGCUCCAAGGAACAAAAGAGGCGGUCACGAGGGUGGGGGGCGCCCCCCCUAGGGCGUGCCCCCUGCCUCAUGGGCCCCUCGUUGCUCCUCCGGUGUACUUCUUCCUCCUAUAUAUACACACGUACCCCCAAACGAUCAGAACAGUAACCAAAAACCUAAUUCCACCACCGCAACUUUCUGUAUCCACGAGAUCCCAUCUUGGGGCCUGUUCCGGAGCUCCGCCGGAAGAGGGCCGUCAUCACGGAGGGCUUCUACAUCAUCCUAGCCCCUUCGAUGAAGUGUGAGUAGUUUACCCCAGACCUUCGGGUCCAUAGUUAGUAGCUAGAUGGCCUCUUCUCUCUCUUUGAAUCUCAAUACAAAGUUCUCCCCCUCUCUUGUGGAGAUCUAUUCAAUGUAAUCUUCUUUUUGCGGUGUGCUUGUUGAGACCGAUGAAUUGUGGGUUUAUGAUCAAGUCUAUCUAUGAAUAAUAUUUGAAUCUUCUCUGAAUUCUUUUAUGUAUGAUUGGUUAUCUUUGCAAGUCUCUUCGAAUUAUCCGUUUGGUUUGGCCAACUAGAUUGGUAGUUCUUGCCAUGGGAGAAGUGCUUAGCUUUGGGUUCGAUCUUGCGGUGUCCUUACCCAGUGACAGAAGGGGCAGCAAGGCACGUAUUGUAUCGUUGCCAUCGAGGAUAACAAGAUGGGGUUUAUUUCAUAUUGCAUGAAUUUAUCUCUCUACAUCAUGUCAUCUUACUUAAGGCGUUACUCUGUUUUUAACUUAAUACUCUAGAUGCAUGCUGGAUAGCGGUCGAUGAGUGAAGUAAUAGUAGUAGAUGCAGAAUCGUUUCGAUCUACUUGUCACGGACGUGAUGCCUAUAUACAUGAUCAUGCCUAGAUAUUCUCAUAACUAUGCUCAAUUCUAUCAAUUGCUCAACAGUAAUUUGUUCACCCACUAUAGAAUACUUAUGCUUUUGAGAGAAGCCACUAGUGAAAUGUAUGGCCCCCGGGUCUAUUCUCAUCAUAUUAAUCUCCAUCACUUUAAUCUUGUUUUGCUUUUUUAUUUUUAUUUUACGUUUUACUUUGCAUCUUCAUACCAAAAAUAUUAUAUCUAUCAGAUCUCACUCUCGUAAGUGACCGUGAAGGGAUUGACAACCCCUAAUCACGUUGGUUGCGAGUAGCUAUCACUUUGUGCAGGUACGAGGGACUUGAGCGUGGGCUCCUACUGGAUUGAUACCUUGGUUCUCAAAAACUGAGGGAAAUACUUACGCUACUCUGCUGCAUCAUCCCUUCCUCUUCGGGGAAAACCAACGCAAGCUCAAGACGUAGCACCAAGCUUGGGGGAGUGCCCUGGUAUCGUAUCACCAUCACUUUUAUCUUUACCGUUUUUCUUAGUUCGAUCCUUUUGGUAAUAUCUUGAUCUAGUAGAAUAAAAGUUCUUAAUUAGUAUGAUCUAGUUGUGAGUUUUGCUUUAUUAUCCUUCUAUGUAAUCGAGUCCAUGAGCUAUAUAAUAAAGAUUAGUGUUGAGUCAAGGGCUUGAUUAUUUUGGCAUGAUCCUAAGGAAUAAAAGAAAAGAGAAAGAAAUAAAAAGAAACAAAGAGAUCAUGUGACUCUUAUGGAGAGUAAUGAGCUCACAUAGAAAGAGUAUGUUGAAUAAAAGUUAUUGAGGGUUGACAAACAUAGUUUUGGUCAUCGUUGCAAUUAAUAGGAAGUAAUAAAGAAAGAGAGGUCUUCACAUAUAAAUAUACUAUCUUGGACAUCUUUUAUGAUUGUGAGCACUCAUUAAAAUAUGACAUGCUAAAAGAGUUGACAUCACCCUUGAGGUAAAACGUUGGGAGGCAAAAACUAUAAGCCCCUAUCUUUCUCUGUGUCCAAUUAAAACUCCAUACCCAUAAGUAUUGCGUGAGUGUCAGCAAUUGUGAAAGAUUAUAUGAUAGUUGAGUAUGUGGACUUGCUGAAAAGCUCUUAUACAUUGACUCUUUCCUAUGUUAUGAUAAAUUGCAAUUGCUUCAAUGACUGAGAUUAUAGUUUGUUAGUUCUCAAUGAAGUUUACGAUUCAUACUUGAUAUUGUGAUUGAAUUAUUACUCUAGCAUAAGAAAUCAUAUGACAAGAAUUAUAUAAGUUGUUGUUCUAAGAAUGAUUAUGAUGCCCUCGUGUCCGUAUUUUAUUUUUAUCGACACCUUCAUCUCUAAACAUGUGGACAUAUUUUUCGAUUUUGGCUUUUCGCUUGAGGACAAGCGAGGUCUAAGCUUGGGGGAGUUGAUACGUCCAUUUUGCAUCAUGCUUUUAUAUCAAUAUUUAUUGCAUUAUGGGCUGUUAUUACACAUUAUGUCACAAUACUUAUGCCUAUUCUCUCUUAUUUUACAAGGUUUACAUAAAGAGGGAGAAUGCCGACAGCUGGGAUUCUGGCUGGAAAAGGAGAAAAUAUUAGAGACCUAUUUUGCACAGCUCCAAAAAUCCUGGAACUUCACGGAUGAUGUUUUCCAAAUAUAUAAAAAACAUUGAGCGCAAGAACUUCACCAGGGGGGCCACACCCUGCCCACGAGGGUGGGGGCGCGCCCUACCCCCCUGGGCGCACCCCCUACCUCGUGGGCCCCCUGGUGGCCCUCCGGUGAUCAUCUUCUGCUAUAUGGACUCUUUCGGUGGGAAAAAAAUCAUAAGCCAUCUUCUCAGACGAAACUCUGCCGCCACGAGGCAGAACCUUAGCGGAACCAAUCUAGGGCUCUUGUGUGCUGUGUAUUCUUCCAAACGAGCGUGUUGUGUAUUCUUCCAGCGUGCAGAACGCACUAUAGGAGGUCCUUACUACAUGGGCCGGCCCAGGCGGGGGAUUCCCCUGUGAAAAAUGUUUUUAUCACUUAUAGGUGGCAAUGGUGGGUAAUAUUUUGCAACUUUAGAGGCAAUUUUCGUGAUGUACCACCAGAAUCAAUAGCCCCUUUAUUAUUAGAUUGGAUAGAGGUAUAGAUAUAUAUUAUAAAAAUUAUAGUGGAGCAUUACCAUACUGUUUUCCUUCAAAAAAUACUCCAUAUUUAUAAUGGUUUUUCCAUGCGAUCCUUGGAAAGGAUAUGGCACCAUUAUGAAAUGAUAAAACAACAAAACACUAGGGGCAAUCAGCAUUCAUAUUGAAAAUUUUAACCAAUUUUCAUCACAUUUUGUAACAACGAUUUUGAUUUGUAUCAGAUAAAAUUUUGGUAUCCACAAUUUUUUUGGUGAUGUACCAUGAUGGCAUGACAAUAUAUAAUUGUCCUUAGAUGCAUCUUUCACUUUUCUACUUCCUAGAUCACACCAGUCAAUUGUAACCAAUACCGUUACCAUAGGAAUAUAUUUACUUUGCAUGCCGGGAUUUACACAACAUGGACCCAUCAUUGGAUGAUGAACAAAAACAAUAUGUAUGUAUGCAUUAACAGAAUAUCUCAGUGAUUGUUCCGUGUUUUCACGCAGGAAAUUCUCGCUCUGUGACACAUAAGUAGUUUUCAAACAUUUCUUGGUGGACGAUGGAGAGAUGAUGUGCUGGCUCGGUAUCUCGAGUGUGCUCAUUGGGGCAGGGUGUGUGUGCGUGUGUUUAUAAGGAUACGUGUAUGUGUGUAUGUAUAAGCCUAUGCGCCUGUACUAUGUUAAAAAAGAUCUUUCAUGGAGGUAAUUUGGGUCAAACUUCUCGGAAAGCUAGUGGAAUGAAUAUUCAGGUUUUAUUUUUUGAGGGGAAAAUGAAUAUUCAGGUUUUUUAGGCAAACUCCAAAGCUUUUUAUUGAACCAUCACAAUUUUUGCAGGGACAAAAGAAAGACCAUCAGGCUGGCCAAACCAAACAUGGCGACCAGGCCCUAGGGAUAAAGCAAGUUUUGCAAGUUUGCGAGCCUCGAUAUUUGAGCUCCUAAAUUCAUGAGCUAUAUUGCAAAUAUAAAAGGUAGACUUCUGAAGUACGAUUUCAUGUGUCACUGCCCCAUAUAUAGCUGCACUCUUUUGCUUGAUAUUGAUAAUCCACAAGUAUAGGGGAUCGCAACAGUUUUUGAGGGUAGAGUAUUCAACCCAAAUUUAUAGAUUCGACACAAGGGGAGCCAAAGAAUAUUUGAAGGUAUUAGCAGCUGAGUUGUCAAUUCAACCACACCUGGAGAUUAAUUAUCUGCAGCAAUAUGAUCAGUAGCAAAGUAGUUUGAUAGUUUUGAUAGUAGUGAAAGUAGCAACGGUAACAAUAACAGUCAUAGCAGUAAUUUGUAGCAAGUGUAACAGUGAUGAUAGCAAUAGUAAUGCAGCAAGAUCAAUAAGGAUAAAUUCAUAGGCAUUGGAUCGGUGACUUGUUGGAUGAUAUUCAUCAUGUGACAGUUAUAACCUAGGGCGAUACGGCACUAGCUCCAGUUCAUCGAUAUAAUGUAGGCAUGUAUUUCGUAAAUAGUCAUACGUGCUUUAUUAAAAGAACUUGCAUGACAUCUUUUGUCCUACCCUCCCGUGGCAGCAAGGUCCAUAUUGGAAACUAAGGGAUAUUAUUGCCUCCUUUUAAUAGAGAAUCGGAACAAAGCAUUAACACAUAGUGAAUACAUGAACUCCUCAAACUACGGUCAUCACCGAGAGUGGGCCCGAUUGUUGUCACUCCGGGGUUGCCGGAUCAUAACACGUAGUAGGUGACUAUAACUUGCAAGAUCGGAUCUAAAACAUGGAUAUAAUGAUGAAUUCAUAAACGGUUCAGAUCUGAAAUCAUGGCACCCGGGCCCAAAGUGACAAGCAUUAAGCAUGACAAAGUCAUAGCAACAUCAAUCUAAGAAAAUAGUGGAUAUUAAGGAUCAGGCCCUAACAAAACUAACUCGAUUACAUGAUGAAUCUCAUCCAACUCCUCAAUGACCAGGGAGCCUACGAAGGAAUUACUCACUCCCGGUGGGGAGCAUCAUGGAAUUAGCGAUGGAGAAGGGUUGGUGAUGACGAAGAUCCCCCUCUCCGGAGCCCCAAACGGACUCCAGAUCUGCCCUCCCGAGGAAGAACAGGGCUUGGCGGCGGCUCCGUCUCGUGAAUCACGAUAAUUCUUUCUUCCUGAUUUUUUUGGAAUAAUGUGAAUUUAUAGUAUCAGGGGGGUUGUCAGCGGGGCCACCAAGUGGGUACAACCCACCUGGGUGCACCAGGAGAGGGGGGCGCGCCCUGGUGGGUUGUGCCCACCAAGGAGCCUGAUACGUCCAUUUUGCAUCUGCUUUUAUACCAAUAUUUAUUGCAUUAUGGGCUGUUAUUACACAUUAUGUCACAAUACUUAUGCCUAUUAUCUCUUAUUUUACAAGGUUUACAUAAAGAGGGAGAAUGCCGGCAGCUGGGAUUCUGGCUGGAAAAGGAGCAAAUAUUAUAGACCUAUUCUGCACAGCUCCAAAAGUCAUGAAACUUCACGGAUGAUGUUUUCCAAAUAUAUAAAAAAACAUUGAGCACAAAAACUUCACCAGGGGGGUCACACCUUGCCCACAAGGGUGGGGGGCGUGCCCUACCCCCCUGGGCACGCCCCUUACCUCGUGGGCCCCCUGCUGGCCCUCCGGUGACCAUCUUCUACUAUAUGGACUCUUUCGAUGGGAAAAAAUCAUAAGCCAUCUUCUCGGACAAAACUCCGCCGCCACGAGGCGGAACCUUGGCGGAACCAAUCUAGGGUUCUGGCGGGGCUGUUCUGCCGAGGAAACUUCCCUCCCGGAGGGGGAAAUCAUCACCAUCGUCAUCACCAACACUCCUCUCAUCGGGAGAGGGCAAUCUCCAUCAACAACUUCAUCAGUAUCAUCUCAUCUCAAAACCCUAGUUCAUCUCUUGUAUCCAAUUCUUGUCUCCAAGUCCGGGAUUGGUGCUAGUAGGUUGCUAGUAGUGUUAAUUACUCCUUGUAGUUGAUGCUAGUUGGUUUAAUUGGUGGAAGAUCAUAUGUUCAGAUCCUAUAUGCACAUUAAUACCCCUCUGAUUAUGAACAUGUUUAUGCUGAGGACAUGGGAGAAGUCUUGCUAUUAGUAGUCAUGUGAAUUUGGUAUUCGUUCGAUAUUUUGAUGAGAUGUAUGUUGUCUCUCCUCUAGUGGUGUUAUGUGAACGUCGACUACAUGACACUUCACCAUUGUUUGGGCCUAGAGGAAGGCAUUGAGAAGUAAUAAGUAGAUGAUGGGUUGCUAGAGUGAUAGAAGCUUAAACCCUAGUUUAUGCGUUGCUUCGUAAGGGGCUGAUUUGCAUCCAUAUGUUUCAUGCUAUGGUUAGGUUUACCUUAAUACUUUUGUUGUAUUUGCGGAUGCUUGCAAUAGAGGUUAAUCAUAAGUGGGAUGCUUUGUCCAAGUAAGGGCAACACCCAAGCACCGGUCCACCCACAUACCAAAUUAUCAAAGUACCGAACGCGGAUCAUAUGAACGUGAUGAAAACUAGCUUGACAAUAUUCCCAUGUGUCCUCCGGAGCGCUUUACAUCAUAUAAGAGUUUGUCCAGGCUUGUCCUUUGCUACAAAAAGGAUUGGGCCACCUUGCUGCACCUUAUUUACUUUUGUUACUUGUUGCUUGUUACAAAUUAUCUUGUCACAAAACUAUCUAUUACCACUUAUUUCAGUACUUGCAGAGAAUACCUUGCUGGAAACCGCUUAUCAUUUCUUUCUGCUCCUUGUUGGGUUCGACACUCUUACUUAUCGAAAGGACUACGAUAGAUCCCCUAUACUUGUGGGUCAUCAGGGACCCUCUCCGGUGGGUCUUGGCUCUGUAAAUUCUUAUUAUUGGUAUAAAAAAUCCUCAAAAAGUUUCGUUUCAUUCCGAGAAUUUUUAUUUCUGCACAAAAACAACACCAUGGUAGUUCUGCUGAAAACGGCGUCAGUCUGAGGUUAGUUUCAUUCAAAUCAUGCAAAUUAGAGUCCAAAACAAGAGGAAAAGCGUGAGAAAAAGUAGAUACGUUGGAGACGUAUCAGAUAUCCUCAACUACCACCCUGCAGUCUGAUGCCACCUGGAUCCUCCUCUUGUACAGAUCGUCUGCUAGAGCUAGGCCUUCUCUGACCGCCAAAGCUUCUAGUGUCACCGGGUUAGGUAUGUUUGGAAAGACGAUUGCUGACGCACCUAAGAACUUCCCAUGUUGGUCCCUGCAUAAGGCGCCGACAGCACCAUCGACCAACAACUGCAUGAAUGCAUCAACAUUAUUUUUCACCAAGUCUCUGGGGAGGGGCAAUCCACCGCUUCUGCCUCCCGCGCAGCCGUAUCCUCACCUGCUUGCGCUCCUUCGGUCGGCUCUUUCGCGCCCAGGACACCGGCCUCACCUCCUUCCACUUCUUCAGCUGCCGCGUUGCCAUCUACGGCAACAACGCCAGCCCCAACCACCGUCAGCUCCGCAUUCUCCACCUCCUCAUAGGGGAGCGAGCCCACCUGCCUGAUUCCCCAAAAGGCUUGGAAGCAAUCAUCUUUUCCGGCGACCUCGUCGUCACCUUCACGCGAUGCUGCUAUGACCUCUACUAUUGUCGUGUUGGGGAUGUUCACUGGCGAGCGGCAUGGUGCGAUCAAGGCCACCUGCUUUACAGUCUGAUGUUCGUGAAGGACACACUCUAUGUGUUCAUUUAUCGAAAUUACCGUCUCAUUGUCGUCGAGCUUGACAACAAUUUAGUGAUAUUAUUGUUUCUUGGGGCCAAAUUCAGCGUGCGGACAGUUCCUUAUUCUUCCACGUUCUGGAUCACUGAGAGCCACGGUGAGUUGUUGCUCAUUGUCAAAACCUAUGUGUACCUUGUUUUUCGGUGGCAAUCUGGGGAGUAUUAAAGAACAAGCUACAGCCACCAAGGCUAGUGCUCCUCACCCACUUUCUCUCCCCAGAUUGCCACAGGAAAACAAGGUACACACAGGUUACAGUUCAGAUCAUCCUGCAGUUCAGACAGACUGCUUGUACUUUAGUGGAGACUCUCGGAACUGGAGCGAGUAUUCUUUGGUUGAUGAAUCUUUGCAUGAAAUUGUUACCCACUACGUACCAAGAGCGAGCAGCAAGGAAGGAAUGCGUAGCUCUGGCUUGGGUCCUGCCAAGCAUUUGCCGAUGAAACACAAUGCGUAUUACAAUCGUCUAGAAGUUCUGAAUGUAUAUUUGCUCCCUAGUGACUUGUUAAUGGCUUAGUUUUGCAUUUUCUGUUUGUUAAUCAAAAUAUUAAAGUGACUCUUUAGCAAUAACUGUAUAUGAACUUGUAUAUGAAUUAAUAGACAUCCUACUCACUAAAUUCUUCAAAUAUCCGAUAGUAAUGUUCACCAGUCUUGACAAUUAGUCUUCGGGUAUGGUUUCCAAUGCUAGAUCUACGUACAAUUGCUAUGUAAUUAGUCUUACGUGCUGAGGUGGCCCAAAUUAGUUGGGCCAAGAUUAGCGGCUAGGCCACCCCACAGUUAAAUGAGAGCUCUUCGCUGACGCCUUAAUGCGCCAGUAGGCGAAACCAGCGUGAGCGCUAUGUCUCGCAUUAAGCGAGACAGUAGCCAGCUCUCGCUGAACGUUUCUCCUCCCCUCGCGUUGUAUUGAGCAGGCCCAUUCGCGUGCGCAGAACAAGAAAAAAAGUAAAUGAAAUGGGAAAAGUAGGAAUCAAUCUCUGGUCUCCCAGGAGAAACCAGGCGCUGCUAGCCACUCCGCCAGGUCCCGUCCGCGAUAAGUAAUAGUGGCACGCCCUAAUUAGGGAUUCGAGCCAGUUUUCUUUCUUUCUUUUUGUUUUUUCGUUUUCUUUUGUUUCUUUUCUUCUCUAAUUUUUUUUUAUUUUUUUGCAUUUUGUUUCUUCAUUUUCUUCUUCUUUUGUUUAUGUCAUUUCUUUUUUUGAUUUUCUUUGUUCUUUUGGCUAUUAUCCUACAUUUUUUGUAUAUGUCAACAACAUUUUUCUAAUACACAUCUAACAUUUUUUUAAACAAAUUAAACAUUUUUGUAAUACAUGAUUAAUAUUGUUUCUACACAUACUUUAACAUUUUCAAACACUUGAUUUUUUUUCAAAGACAAGAUUAACUAUUCUGGAAUACAUGUUCAAAAAAAUUAUAUACAUUUGAAACAUUUUUUAAAACGCUUGAUUAAUAAUUUUCAAAUAAAAAGAUUAAAAAAAGUUUAAUACAUGGUCAACAAUUUUUCUAUACACAAUUAACAUUUUCCAAAAGCUUGAUAUACAUUUUUCAAACACUUGUUCAACAUUUUUUGGAAUGCUUCAUUAACAUUUUUAUAUACAUGACAAAAAAUGUCAUCAUUUUUUUAAUACAUGGUUCACAUUUUUUAUACACAUUUAACAUUACCCAAAUGCUUGACUAACAAUUUUUAAAUACUUGUUCAACAUUUGUUUCGAAAUGCUUGAUUAACAUUUUUAUAUACAUGAUAAAAAAUCAUCUUUUUUCUAAUAAGUGAUCAACAUUUUUUGUGUACAAGUUCAACACUGUCCGAACGCUUGUUCAACAUUUUUCAAAUACUUGUUCAACAAUUUUAAUACUUAUUCCACAUUUUCAAAUACUUGUUCAACAUUUUUCAAAUUCUCAUUCAAUAUGUUUAAUACUUAUUCAACAUUUUUGAAAUACUUUUUCAACAUUUUUUAUAUACAUGUUCAACAUUUUUUAAAUACUUGUUCAACAUUUUUCAUAUACAUUUUCAAUAUUUCUUUCUACCCAUAUAACAUUCUCGAAUGCAUUUUUAACAUUUUUUUAAAACAUUAUGCAAACUAUAUUUUUUUAUAUAUAUGUUUAUAAUUUUUGGAAGUGUAAAACAAAGAAAAAAAGAAAUGAAAAACGAAACAAAGAAUGCGAAAGAAAAACAGAAAAAAUGAGGAUGUGCCCUCCAGCGCACCUGGCCUGGCCCAUAUAGAGCUGCCCUGACGCGAGGGUUUCGCGAGGUAAAGCGGGACAUAGAGGCCCCGAAACCAGCGCCCGCGCGCGCCUGGCUACGUAAGCCAGCCCAAGAACGAGCCGACGAGCUCGCGCACGACGCGCACUUCCCCGGCUUUCCUUGCUCGAUCGUUUCAUUUACUGAAAAGAAAAAAAUGUUCGAUCGUUUCGUAUAAUUGGCAGUGGUAGACCAGUCAACCAUAGACCAUUGUCUUUUCAGAUUUGUUUUAGAAAUUUCAGAAAAGAUAAUUCAAAAAUAAAAUGCUCACGGGUUCUAAAAAAAUUCACUGAUUUUUAAAAAAAGUUUUACCAAACUUAUAAAAAAAAUCACGAAUUUCAAAAUAGUUCACUGAUUUUUAAAAAUUGCUCAUGAAUUUUAAAAAAAUCAUCAAUUUUUAAAAAAGUUUCCUUUCAAGAAAAAAAUUCACGAAUUUCUUUAGCAAAAAAUAGGUUCAUGAAUUUUAAAAAAGGGACAAAGAAAAAAGAACGAUGAAAGAAGAAGAAGAAAUGGCAAAACAAACCACUAUGUAAGCACACGAGGUUACUUGGUCGGGUGGUUAUGGUGUGUGCGCUCUGUACCAAAUGGUCUAUAUUCGGCGCUACAAGAUUUGGCCGGUUAAAUUUGAUGGAUUAUGGAUGGGCCUAGGCCCAUAUAAAACAAUAAUCCCUAGUUAAUCUCUAAGGCCCAUGCAUGUGUACGGCAAGUGGUGGGAAGUGUAAAAAGUUUAGUACUGCUACAGUAAGAAGAGUGAUACCUUUUUAUAAGGGUUGCUCCAUCACUUGCUAUUGGGAGCUUGGAAAUAGGAGUUGUACACGCGCGCUCCUCUUACUCCGUCGUCCGCCUCGCCUCGUCAAAAGUGUGCGCACCGCGGGUUGCGGGAAUGAGCCGAGCCAGUGGAGUGAACCCUAACUCAGUUCACUCACUCCCUCUCGUACAACCCUAGCCGUCAUCUACUGUUCCUCUCUCUAUGCUGCUUUCGGCGAUCCCAUCCCGACGACCGCGUGCACGGUUGGUCGGGAGAGUAGGUGCCUCCGGAACCCUGUCGUUCAAGAUCACGGUUUUUGGGGAGCGUCUCGACGCGAUUGCUCCCGCUCCGUCCCCUUCACCGACCGCUUCUGCUUCCACUACUUCCCCUGCAUCGAGUCCAUGGCUGACGGCGAAGCCACCAAGAAGAAGGCCUCGGCCGAUGCUGAGGCUGCUGCUGCCGCCGUCGCGUUGGCCUGGCCAAUCGAAGGGUAUGCCUCGUUCAUCCCCUAUUUGCUCGUUCAUAUGCUAGCCGUAUAUAUGUUGUUCAUAGAUGUUUCGGUAGUAUGUACUGUACGUGCUCACAUGCUUAGGUAUUGGUAUGAAAUGCAUACUGUAUUUGCCAUGCUUAAUGUUUACUCGUGGAUUAGAUUAGUCGGAAAAAUGCUAAUACUUCCAAUAGAAUUCAGGAGGGAGAGAAUUUAGGAAGGUUACGUAAGUUGGUUACGAGUAGGUAUACCUAGGUAUAGAAUUUUCGAUGGUUUCCUUAUUUCUCUAUACACUGCUUGAUGAGGGCAGCAACUAGUGGAAUGGAUAUUUAGGGAAUCAAUGAAAACCAAUUACUUGGCAAUAGAACCACAUACAUGUAAACCAAGAUUGUGUACGCAGUGGCGGAGGCAAGAUUGCUGAAAUCAUAAUACGAGGGGGAGUGGCUAUAGAAAAAAAACAAAAAAAAUAAUAUUUGUUCAUUUGCUUUCAACAAGCACUUUCAGAUUCUUGGGGUGGGCCUUGGCCACGGCUGGCCACCCCUGCAUGUGGUAUGUUCGGACUUUGGAGUAUUGUUAAGAUGAAUUACCCUGCCCUGUCAAGAUGGGGAUUUAUGUGCCUAGACCCUAGGAAGAAUGCUUUGCUUCAGUAAUAUUUACCCUGCAAAACCUAAUACUACUACGUACUCCUUCCGUCUGAAAAUACUUGUGGUAGAAAUGGAUACAAAUGGAUGUAUGUAGAACUAAAAGUACAUCUAGAUACAUCCAUUUCUCGGACAAGUAUUUCCGGCGUAUUAUUUAAUUAUAUCCAUGACGUUCAUGUGUUGUUUUCUUGGACUGCGUCGCAGAAGAGAAAUUUACACGCGUUGCUGUUGACGGUGGCAUGCAACAGAAAGUCUAAUCAACCGAGGAUGGGGGAAGGCUGUUUAAAUAUGCUUUGUGAUAUGUAAAACAUGAUAAUGAAGAAACUGUGGCUCUUUUGGUUGGCUGGUACUGGUAGUACUAGUGCUUCCUUUGGCUGGGUCGUACUAGUACCUUCUCUCGUUCACCAAGUUAUGUAUCCCUGAUAAGGUUCUGUUUUUACUCUCUCUGUCCGAAAAAACUUGUCACAAGCUUGUCUCUCGAACGGAUGUAUCUAGCACUAACUUGGUGUUAGAUACAUCCAUUUGAGGGACAAGCUUUUUUGAACGGAGGGAAUACCUUGCAGCAAUCUGAGUGCUUGGCUGGACAUGUUUUUGGCCCUCAUGUUUGUGGUACCGUGAUGUGAAUGUUCUGCAUUGUAGUUCAGGCUCUGCUGACGCUUUUUGGUUGUAAAGCUGCAGUUUUUGUUUGACUGUAUGAUGAGUUGUUUCUCCCUGAUGUAUUGGGCGCAGUAGCUUAUUAUUCAUAAAAAAUAACCACAGUAUGACUGUAAUCAAAUUGUUUUUUUAAGAAAAAAUAGGGAGGUGAUCCCCCGUUCGAUUAGCUCGGAAUGAAACCAUGAGUAUCUCAAACAAGGUUCAAAAACCUAAAGGUAAAGGCAAACUGAAAGCUGCCACACAGAUAGUUCAAGCAGUUAAAAGAAAGAAAUAGCACACGCAGGCGCCAAAAGAUGAAAACGGCUGGUAAAGACCAAAAUUUAGCUGUGAAGAGAAGGGCUUCACAGGCGAGCAGCAAGUCUCCAGGACCGAUGUUGAUUUGUUGGGAACUGUGAGAAUAAUCCCUCACUCUCACCAAUUGCAAAGAAAGAAUCACCCAGUUUUUUAUUGUCCUUAGAAUAUUCCCUAUCACCUGGUUCACAGACAUCCAAAUAGUGUUAUUAAAGAUCACGGAAUUUCUGAAUUUCCAAAUACACCACAAAGUUGUUGCACAGCAGGCUGUAUUUAAAGCUGAAUUCUACUUAUUAGAGACCCAAAACCUAGCAAUUGAAAGGUAAUCAGUACCAGUGAAAUAUACUAAAGUCUUCACUGAUUACCAUCCAAAUAACUAGAGACAACACACUCAAACAUCAAAUGGUUUAUCAUUUCGUCUUGAGAGCAGAAAACACAAACUAAAAGUUUGAUUAUGUGUCUCUUCUUGAGGUCAUCUCUGAUCAUGAGCUUAUUAUGAGCAAGUAGCCAGAGAAAGGUACGAGUAUUAGGAGCAACAUUCAACAUUCAAAAAAGUUUUAGGAGCAACAUUUAAGCACCAAACAGGAGGUGUCUAAACAGGUUGCACUCCUCUAAAACUGAUGAAAUAGCUAUUACAGCUUUGGCUUCUCUCAUAACACCACCAAACAGGAACUUGUUCUCACAAAAUGUGCAGGCUUUGAGAACUCAACAGCGACGAAUCAGGAUCAAUGCAUGAAAGCUCACUGAUCCAUUAUGCGCUUGCAAAUGUCGCUCGUGUAGAGCCGUAUCAAUAAGCGUCGGCAGAUCCUCAGGCCCAUGGAUUUCACACACCAAAAAAACUAGAUAAUGUACAAUCAGAUUUCAACUUUCAAGCAGGUCACUGACAAACAGCCUUACUUCUGAUCUAAAUAUCCCAUGGAGAGUGUAAGUUGUUUUCAUAUUCAUAAUGUGCCAUGAAGAAAGAUCAUGUGGUCGACAUCAUCAGAUUUUUUUUUUCAUUUGGCGUCAUCGGGUCCUCGCCAACAGCUCACUGUAUACUGCAUACAUUUUUUUUCUUUGAUAUUCUCUGCUGUACCUUUUUCUUCAGAUUUUUUCAUAACAUCUCACACCUAAGGUUGGAGGUCAAAUGAAACUUUACACUCGAUAUGAUUGAUUUUUGGAUAACAUUCAAAAGAAGCACGGUAGAUAAUUCACAUUCUUUUACUCCCAAGACAACCAUUACCGUAACUUUUCACAAGUUCAUCGCCUCUAGUAAUAAUACAUGACACUGAACAUAGACAAAAUUUCAGUCAUCCUCCUCUGAAAUGGCAGUCAGCCCAGAGCAGAAAUCUUAAGACUCCGCUACAGGGGUCUGCCCAUCGUCACAGAAGAAUGGCCUCGAAGGCAACUGCAGGCCAUCCACACCUCCUUCAAGCAUCUCUAUGACUUCGCUCAUCGGCGGCCGAUCGUGAGACUGAAUCUGGAUGCAGCAAAGCCCAACAACACAAAGUUUCCUCUCCAACUCAUGCAUCUCAGCACGCAUCUCACCCAGUUCCUGUUUGCUUAGCCGGUCAUACACCCACGACGGGUAGAAUGUCUGGCUUGAGUUCGCCGUGCCCGGGUCAGCAUUCCUCCCCCUCCGGCCAUCUCCAGCAGCAGCAUCCCGAAGCUGUAAACGUCAGAUUUGGUCGAUAUGACGCCGAAGCUCCGGGAUAUCAUUUCAGGAGCUAUGUACCCAAUGGUUCCCCGUAGGGCGCUCAACGGCACAAAACUGUUGUCCCUUGGGUACAGCUUGGCAAGGCCGAAAUCGGCAACCUUUGGGACGAAAUUGCUGUCAAGAAGGAUGUUGUGCGGCUUGAUGUCAAAGUGCAGAAUCUGCAUGUCGCAUCCUUGAUGCAGGUAGUUGAUCCCCCUGGCAAUGCCCAAGGCGAUUUCAUUAAGCUUGUCCCAGGAGAAACUCCUCUCAGCCGAGAAGAUGUACUUGUCCAGAGAACCAUGGGGCAUAUACUCGUAGGCUAGCACCCUCCUCAUUUCCUCCGAGCAGAACCCGACUAGACGCACCACAUUGACGUGGUGGAUCCUCCCGAUGGUGGAGACCUCACUGAUGAAAUCUUCUCCAUCGCAGCUGGAUUUACCAUCUAGCAUCUUGAUGGCCACAUAGACAUUGCCUGGGAGCAGAACGCCCUUGUACACCGAGCCAUAGCCUCCCUGGCCCAGCUUGUCUCUGAAAUGGCUUGUUACUGCGACAAUAUCUGUGUAGGCGUACCUUGUCGGGCCGAUCAUUUGCUGCAUCCGUAGGAACUUCUCGACCGCAUCAAUUGUGAUCCUCGUUUUCCAGUAUUUGUGAGCUAUGAAGAACAAUACCACCAGGGGAGCAACCACGAACCUGCAUAGUACUGCACAUAUAGAACAAUUUUACGUGAGAUCGCCAAGAAAUUACACUUGUAGCUUGUAUAUGUAAUAGUCCUCUAUAUGUAUCGACGUACCAGCAAUCAACUUCAAUAUCGACGUAGAGUAUAGUACUGCAACCUGUAGUGUGCCGAGAUGUUCAUUGGAAGAAACUGUUGUUCUAAAUGCGCAAUGCAAUACUUCAAAAUCGAGUGCCAAAAUGAUCACAGCCGAACGCGCAACGAGAUACACCACUGAAUACCCAGGGCCUAGGCUGCAGACAUUGGAGAAAACGUGGAAAAGUAAGGAAUGUAUGUAUUUUCCAAAACAGAAGCACAGUGUAUAGAUAUAAACUCACACAAAGCGAUCCUUUAUGCACCCCUUGAAGCCCUCCAAAGUCCUUUGAUAUCUGAAAGGAAACCUAACGGCAAAUCCUCUCCUCAUGGAUUCUACCAGAAUUUCAUGACUUGCAUUAUCUAAUCGCAUGCUCCGACCACCCAAAGCAGCCAUGGCCAAGUACCCGCAAGAAGGCUCAAGGUCCCCAACAGAAAUAUAGUCAAUCAACACAUAGACAAAAGAAUACCUCGUGUUCAGGCAAGUGACCGGUAUGUAGUCACUAUUGUUCGUGACCACCCGCGAACAAUUCACAAAGCUAGGCCACGUAACGAAAAAAGGGUCAAAUAUGAUGGAGCCGUCGGACUGCUGGAGGCCAUGUAGAUAAGGGCGUUGAUCCCAGCGAGGAAGAGGGCAGCUACUGCUCAUGUCCAAGUUGGCGUCCACGACCCAGAAGGAAGAAUACUUGUAGUCAAUCUCAGUGACAAAGUAUGUCCCUGUGUUGAUCUGAAUUGUAGCAUUGCUAUCGGUGCAGGUAAGCUCGUAUGACGGAGAACCACACCACCAUGGAUCGCCUUGCAGGCGGAAAGGGUACUGGACGUCUUGGAGAUGACCGCAAUAGAAAGGAGAGCAGGUAUACCUGCUAUUAUCAGUAAUAUCAUGUCGCCCCUGAACAUCCACGGCAAGAACUGCGACCAUGAAAUGCACCAGGAACCACCAUGGAGGCAUCGAUGAUAGUCAACUGUUUAUCUCUUGUUCUGGCUUUGUUGCGUGCUUUUUUCUCAUGUUUAAUGGACUGUAAGGAAACAAGGGUGAAAACAAAUACGAAAUAUACAAGGGAUGAUGGAAUAAAAGAAUCUGUAGAAUGACCCGGUCAGAGAUGGUUAACAUCCACAUCACUGCUGCCAUAUGUCAUCAUAAAGAGGAUGUUGCGAUAUGUAUAUGAUCCUUGUUAACUCCUCCUGGUUAGUAUAAUCAGGGAGGGAUGCUGGUAUAUGCUUCUGUGACUUGGCAAGGAGGUUGAUACAUGUCAGUGUCAGGUCUUGGAUUCUACUGUAGUGAUGCAGUCUACAAAGCUUGAUCUACAACGAUGCAGUCACCUAGCUACUACAAAACAACAUACAGGAGGUUUGCACCGAUCCACGAACGGAGGAAGUUCUUACUCAGGCAAGCACAACUUAGACUACUGACUUUCUUAUGUCUUUGUAAUUACAAUACCUGGCUUACCUUCAUCCAUCUCGUAGUGCAGAAGCAGAAAGAUGAGUAUAUUCCUUGUCACAGCCCUGGUGGUCUGCCUUGUCAGCCAUGGAACCGACAUGACCACAGCUUCAGCAGCUUGGGAUGACCAAGAUUUCUUCAGAAACUGUCCGCCAUCCCGGUGCAGCAAAGAUGGACCCGAGAUCUGGUUCCCACUCCGGCUUGAUUCCAGCAAUACACCAUCAUCCUGCGGUGCAACAUGUGCGAUGCUAGCAUGCUCAGGCCAAUCCACUAUCAUGCUUCACCCACUUCUUGGCCCAUGCAAUGUCAACUCCAUAAAUUACACCGGUGCCCUCCUCAACAUCACCCCGCUUACCUCCGCGUGCACAAUGAUUCAGAAUCUCAUCUCAAUAAGUUCACCACCGGCUGCUGACCACCACUGUACUUCACACUACAGCAGAACUGGAAUGCUUGUAGGCUUCUCAAGGGAGUUCACGCCAAGCGGAAUUACUCAGUAUCCUGUCUAUGAUGACAGAGGUGGUUACUAUGCUUCUGCCUCAGCUGCUGAUACUAUCGCUGGCCCAAUCUCCUGCCUUAGCAACAAAACCCACUACUCGUAUUUGGUGGCAACUGAUGCAUUCAUGUAUGAUCUUCCAUUGGACUGCAAGGUCAUAUCAGAUGCCGCCCUCCCGAUAUUUGGCACAGGAUAUUAUGGCUCCAAGCACGAUGUUGAAGAAGGAGCCCUCCAAUUUUAUGACAUAGCAGUCGACUGGAGUGAAGAGAGGCGUGAUUCUGGACCAUGGUUCAGCCGAACCUAUGGUCGACGCCGUACGAUUCAACAUCCUGCUACAUGUGGAUCCACGUCACGCAUUGUUUAAUAUGCAAACAGCUCCCAUCAUGCAUUUUUUAAUCAAUCAUGCACGGAUCCUUAUGAAAAGUGUCCAGAGAUUAAUGGUGUCGAGCGUAGGUUCGGCAGAACCAUGGUUCCGUAUAACAUUUUCGCUGGAGUGAACAGGAGCCGUUAUCCAUUCCCUCUGAGUGCCAAAAAUGCGAACAGAACAGGCAGCGCUGCGCAUUCAGCUCACAAAGGAACGAAACAUUCUGCUUGUCUCAACCCCAUAAAGGUAUCAUUAAUUUCUAACAUCGAGAAAACCCAUGCCAUCCUAUAUUAUCCUGUUAACUCCCAGUUUUGUAGUUUAAAAUCAUUGAGAAUUUCCUAUUUAGUGUACUCAUAUACUGAUGUGCGAUAUUUCCAUGAGUUUUGUUGUCAAAUUAUUUUGCAUACCAGUAGAACAAACAUCUGGGUAGCAAAAAGAUUAUAAGCUUGUGUAAAUAAAUUCUCAUCUGAAUCCUCUGAAAUUUAAGAAACAAAAUGGGGUCAAGUAUUUUGAUGCCAGAGACGUACCACUAAACAUUGGAGAGAAACUUCGAGUGUUCCAAAAGUAGAAAAAAAAAUCUAAGCAACUCUACCAAAUACAGCAUGACAAUUAUGGUAAUGACCUGGGUUUAUUUGAUCAAUUAAUGGACGACCAUGUCUCACGCGUAACAGUAUACUAAUAUAACUUUUAGCAUUUACAUGAUAGACAGACAAAAACACAUUUGAGAUAAACACAAGCAAUCUCUCAACUGUAAUACAGUAACUUCAGAAUUCCUAGAACGUAUUCCAAGAACUUCAGGUUUCUAUGGUUGCUAUUGAACGUGAGCCAACAUUUUACAGCCAUGUUUGUUUCUAAUUCCCCCCUGUACCAACUGCAUUCCUAAAGUUUUUCGCUUACCAAGACAAUCGGGUUGCAACGAUUUAGGCCAAACCAAAUCCAAAAUACAUGCUAGUACCUCAUCGUAGUUAUCUUACUAAAUUCCGCUAAAAAUAUGCAUUGCUCUCAGGAUUGUUCUGGCGAGGUGACAUGCCAAAUAACUGCAUAUGACAAAAAGCUUGAAUCCAAAACAUGUAUAGUUAGGCAGCUUGAAUCCAUCACCAUCCAUUCACUUCCAGGCAUUAUUAUACGGGAAAAUGAAGUACCAGAGCCUGAUGCUGCAUGAGCUGUACUAAUAUUGAUGUAAAUGUACUACUGUGCAAAAAUAAAUAGAUCUGUAUGGUGAAGAAUAUAAGAUGGAUACAUAUCACACAGAACAGAAUAGCUUAAAGAACCACCUGGCUAGGAGAAAUAUAAGAAGCGAAAACAAGAAAUGCAUAUGCAUGAUAUGCCUGCAGAAAGUUUACCUGGGAUCAUGUGCGUCGCCAUUGUGACAUAUGGUUGCCAGUAACAGUGCACGGUAUAUCAGAUGGGUUUUGGGGGCAUACAAGGGAGUUGGCCAUGACAGGUUGAAGACAUACAAGAAGGAAUUUUCAAAAAUAAGAGGUUGUUUCGACGGGUGAUGGGGGCAAGAUAUGUGAGAUUGUGACUGUGAGGUGGGAUAAAACCCUUAAUCCAACCAAGUUACCGAGCAGGGCCUACCCUUAUGAUUCUCAAUCUUUUCCUAAUCUUUACCUACUAAUAAACCAGCUAUUGCUUCUGGUCGUCCGUCGUGGUUGUUUUGCAGAAAACACCCUAUAGUUCCCUGAAAUCAACCCGCACUACAGGUUUUAGUAAGUCAAAAAACGUUUCGAAUUUACAUAAAGCCCCUUGAGUUUUCUUUCGAAGCAGAGGGGGGCGGGUCGUGUGUUGCUGCCUGCUGGAUCGAGGGGAGAAGAAGCACGCGCUGUGGCUCUCCUCGGGAGUUCGGAGCGAGAGCUCGUGGACGACGAGCGCGGGGUGCGGCGGCGUACGGGCGUCGCGGGCCCGCAAUGGGCUUGGCGGUCCUCGGGGUGCAGAGGAUGGACAUGGCCAUCGGCAGGGCAGUGGCGGCCGAAGGAGGAGGGGCAAAGAGAGCAGCAGAAGGCGGACGCAGGGCUCGCUUGGCGCACGGGAGGCCGUGAAAGGGGUGGAGCUCGCCGGUCGCGUACGGACGCAGGGGCGGCCAUGGGCUGCAGUGACCGGGCGCACAAGGUGAAGGCGUCACAACAGCUGAUGUUGCAGGAGACAGUAAGGGGCCCGGCGGAGGACAUAGGGAGGGGAGGCAGAAUUUGGCAACCGCGACGGCCAGCAGCAGCGGUGGCGCUAUGGCCAUCCGGUGAGCAGAGGGCGGGCGCGGCAGCAGCGCACGACCCGUGCGAGAGGAGGGCGGUGGGCCACGACAGGAUCAGGAAGGGGCGGAGCUCGGGCAUAGCAGGAGGGCGGAGGAGAAGGUCGGGCGAGGUGGCACAAAGGCGAGCAGGCGGCAGGGGUCGAGGAGGAAGGAGGCCAAGGCGGCGGCGCUCCUGCGGCCGGCCGGCGGCAGAGGAUCGGGAACAUCUCCCGAUCGAGAAUAGGAUGGAGGUGGGGUUCGAGCAGGUGAGGUUGUGCGUGAUGCGUGGGGUCGAGCGAGCGCUCACGAGAGGGGAGGCAGAAGGGGAGGGACCAUGGCGACGGCAAGGAGUGUUGCUGCUGCAGAUCAACUCACGUUGAAGGUUGUUGCUGCUUCGUGGAUGUGUGGACGCGCUCGGGCGCGUGGAUCUAAUCCAGCUCCCACGCACUUGUGAAGAGGGGCUGCGCUGGGCGUCGGCCGCCUCGCGUGAGCUACACACGCGUUCCCUUGGUCCCACACCACCGCCUAGGCCUACCUCAUCUUCUGGUCCAGUAGUUUCUUAUCCACACGCAAUCUCUCCUUAUAGAUUCAUGCGCCCGUGAUUCCAAGCUUGCUGCACAGCUGGGGAAUUAACAACAUUUGCUUAGCCACUUGAAAAUACAAAAGCUCAGGUUUUAUGCCCGGUACUGAAUGUUUUAACCACCCAUGCUGAAUAAAAUACUCCCGCCUUUUCUAAAUAUAAGUUUCUAAAGAUUCCAGUAUGACUAUAUACCGAGCAAAAUGGGUCAAUCUACACUCUAAAAUACAUCUAUAUACAUUUAUAUGUAGUCCAUAUUAAAAUUUAUAAAAAAAACUUAUAUUUAGGAACAGAGAGAGUAGUACCUAGGCACUGAAUUAAAAUGGGUUGGUAGCAUAUCAACGAGAACAGACCAAGGUAGAGACCGAUCACACAUUUACGUACCCUUUUUUCCUUUUUUUUCCUCCCUACAUCCGGAUAGUUUCUAGAGCUGGCCAUAGAGAUAUCAUGGUUGUGUCAACUAUAACUAAAAUGGUAUUAAGGCUAUGCAUAAUAAUAUAUUUGUAACUCCCUUGGGAUUAAAAUAUGCACUAACAUAUUGAAUUGCUCCGGCCUAAUCUAUACCUACUAAUAAAAGAAAUAGGUAUUCUUGGUGCGUCAUGCUAUUUUGUAGGAAACGCCGUCAAGUUUUUGGUAAUAAAUCUGUAGUACAUAUUAAUCGAUUUUUAAAAUAUCCAUAGCUUUUUAACCCUAACUCCAAAUUUAACAUGUUAUAUAUGAAAUUUGAUUACAAAAAUAUGUAGAAUCUGAAUACGAUAUUAUAUUUAACUGUUAUCAUCCUGUGCCGAAAGGGAGACGUCUUAAAAUUGACAACAUUCAGACGUGUUGUGAUGGUAUGAACACUGAGAGCCAGCGUCGACAAGAGUGGGAAGAAGGAUAAAUAGAAACACAAAUGGGAUGCCAUGUGUUGAAAUAAAGGACACGGACCUACGAAUUCAUGGUUAUUAGAUUAGUGAGUGUUUUUUCAUCCGUUGCAACGCACGAGCUCAUUUGCAUUGUAUGCCGAAGGGGAGACGUCUUAAGAUUGACAACAUUCAAUCGUGUUGUAUUGAUGUCAACAUUGAGGCCAGCGUCGACGAGAGUGAGAAGAAAAAUAAAUAGAAACACAGAUGGAAUGCCAUGUGUUGACAUAAAUGAUAUGGACCUACUAAAGUUUGGACUCAUGGUUAUUAGAUCGGGAAGUGUUUUUUUUUCACACCCGUUGCAACGCACGGGCUCAUUUGCUAGUAAUAAUAAACCAGUGAUUAUUUCUGGUCAUCCGUCAUCGAGCUUUUUGCAAAAAAGUCCCUACUGUUUUUUUAUUCAACCCGCGGUCCUCGUCAUAAGUCAACUCGAACCGGUACAAAGGAAAAAAAAAUAACCCAGCCCCGCCUCCGCCUCGCGGCGCUCUACCCCGCCCCACUGCGCGCCGUCGGCCGCCCCGCUGGCCGCUUCCUGCCUCCCACCCAGAAACGGCGACAGGCAUUUGCCAACGGACGGAUCUAGGCGUAGGAGGGUUAGAGAGGCGCUCGGAAGGCCAAUGAGGCUGGGGGCGCCGGAUCCAGAGUUCGGGGUGGCGCCAUGGUUGCUCGGUGAGCUCCUGCCAGGAAACAUGGCGGGGCGAGAUUUAAAGGGAGAUAGGAGAGAGAAGGGGAAGGGAGUAGCGACGGAGUCUGCUGCUCACCGGCGAGGGCGACAUGUGGGGAAUAUAGACGUUCCGUCCAGUCCGACUGACGAAGGAUUAGGGGAGGGGCGGGCUGUGGAGACUUCGGGGUGGCUGGUGGAGAUGUUGGCCUUGCCGGAAGGCCGGAGGAGGCGACUGGUGGCGGCUCGACAUGGCUGCACUACACGGGAGCGGAGGCAAGAAUUUGGUGGCCAGUCCGUGUGGAUGCAGAUGAGAUCCAGCCGUGAUGAGGGGGUGGGGUCUCAUUUGACCCGCGCCCGAUCCACUCUGGGGCGUAGCAUCCGAGGACGCACCUCGCAGCGCCGGCUCGCAUCGCGACUCUCCGCCGUCGGGUCGCCGGCCGGCUGACAUUGCUUUGCGGCUGUCGGAAGCAACGGGCCGGCCUGCAUGAGGAAAGGAAACGGGAGGCAGAUAGUUGUCACGGCCGCCGUGUGCAAGUCAGCUAGCCCAUUGGCGGCGUUGCCGAAGCCCGCGUUGACGGCCACCAGCGCCUCCCCGUCCCCCUCAGCCGAUGCCGGCAACAACCCAGGAACAACCCACCGACGCCACCACAGGUCGUAGCGGUGCGCGACUCCAAAGCAACUGUCCCUGCCUUCCCUCCUCAGCUACCAGCCUACCAACACUACUCUAGCACCGCUGCAACGCCGCUCUUGCUCCUGGGUUGUGAUGAUGGAGCGAGGCAGCCGAUGUGCCGGACUCUACAGGCAGGGGAAAAGUAGAGAUGUGGUGUUCCGCUGUGUGGUGUGGUGCCGAGAGAGAUACAGAUGGGGCAGAGAUGUGGUGCUGGGGAGAUAACGUGUACGACUUUGUCAGCGGAGAGUUGAUAAACUGGGGAUGGACGUGUAUGACGCGUGGAGCCACCAGCACAGUAAGACUGGUUUCUUCUAGCAAUCUCUUUUUGUGGAUACUUCUAGCAAUCGGCCUCUCGAAAAAAGUUUAGGUGAUAACGUGUGCACGCAUGUCGACAGAUAAAUGUUUUCCUGUUUUUAGUUACAGUUGAUUUAGUUUGGAUCCCGCACAGACAGAAAAUAUCCCCAAUUCCAUCAUGCACGCGUGCACGCAUGUACUUGUUCUCCGACAUUCACACGUUGCCCGAUUUGGUGCUAAAUAUUUUCGUUAUUAGGUUGGAUACUUAUGUUUGUCUCCCUCACAAAUUCAUACUGACUGAAUAUCUGGAUACGAAAAUAGGAAGAUAACAAAAUAUUUAUAUAUAGCAUACACGUCGAACGAAAAUAAAUUCCAAACUUCUGUAGCAAUAAAUAUCAACUUGAACUUCAAGCCAAAAUACAUGAUUCUAAUGCUUAUGUGCAGUGUAAUUAACAAAAAAAUUGAGUUUAUGAUGCAAAAUCUAAUCAAUUUAUUUCUUAAUUAACACAUUCUAGAAAACUCUCACGAGGGCAAAAUAAUGCGCAUGAGAAAAAGCAAAGUUAUGCAAAUAUGCAGUCAAAGCAAAAGAAAGCUAAAAUAGACCAAAUUACGUCUACCUGUGAAUUGAGACGCAACAGACUAGGCAAAGACUUAGUCCUACAUAUAUCGCAACAAAAUAGCAACUUAAAACAUCUAUAUGACGAGGACUUCACGGUCAGCACACAUGAUAGAAGCAUACAUGUUUUGACGUUAGACAUAUACCGCGUUUUUGUUGUCUGAUGAUGUCACUAAAUCAAAAUAAGUAUUAUGUGUGUUUUAUUAUCGGUAUGGUAAUCUAAAGAUAGAGUUGUUCACCCGAUUAGUUAACUAGGAUUCAUGUCCCAUGUUCCGAACUAGCGCCCCAAAGAAUCCUAUUGUCAAUUGAACUAUCAUUUUUGUCAUCAUCAAACUUAUCCUUUACCUUGCCAGCCUAAUUGAGACAAUUGGCAUUUGCUUCGCAACGAAGCAAGUCAACUUAUUUUUCUCCCGUUGCAACGCAUGGGCAUGUUUACUAGUUGACCCUAAAGACUCAAUCUGUUACCAGAGUUGGUAACGAAAAAAAAA